GACUAACUACUACUACACUACUUGAUCCUUGAAGGAUUGAGAGACUUAAUGCUCUUCUAGGGAUGCCUCUCAAGGGUGGAGGCAACCUCUAUUUAUAGAGGAGGGAGAGGGGGUGCCACAUCAGUGAUCCGUCUGCUUCAUGCCUCUCCACCCUUAAAUGAACCGACUUAGUAACCGCCAUAGAUGGAGGGCCAUGGUAAUUUGGACAUGUGGAAGUUGUGCUUGAGUCAGUGGGGAGCCAACCGACUUGGUUAGGCACCAGGAGGGGGUCGCCUGACCCCUCUAUGGUAGGUGGGCCCAGCCAGGGUCUUCUAGAAGGUGACCCUAGUUAUCAUGUGAAGUGGCUCCACCAUUUGUGAAAGAUUUGUCAUGUUGCUUGCUUACUUGUGGGCCCAUGGAUCUAUGUGCAAUGAUCUUUCACCACUAGAAGUUGAUCUGAGGGUGGAAAUGGACUCCAGGGGUCUCCACAUGGAUUGUACUUCAUAGCACACCUCUUGGUGGGACCAUAAUGGGGUCGCCCGACCCCCUCAUUAGGUCCUUCUAAGGUGCAUUUUCUUGUUUCCAGUAAUCAAAGGCUAAGAGUACAAGUGGAACCAGUUAUGGAUAAAAUAUGUUCAUGUUUUGCUAUUCUUCUGUGAGACCGAGGCAUGUUGACGGUGUUUUGAGUGUGAAUUUCUAUGGUACAUCCACUGUCAACAUGAUCCCCCAAGCUUAACCUUUACUCGUCCCAAGCAAACAAUCAAACUUAGCCUCGAUGGAUCAACUAUUGUUACUAUGCUCACAUUUCAAGAGUACCAUGUGUACAACAAAGUUCUUCUCUUUGAAUGAAAUAUUAGCUUAAAAACUCACCCAUAUUACCUUAGUCCUCUAUGGGGCUUAUGGCUUUUCCUUUGUCUUAGGCGGUUGAAAGAUAGAACGGUUUGACUUGAGCACUCAUUUUCUUAUUCAUAGCAAGUUUCAUACCGGAGGUUUUGUAAUAUUUUUUUUCAAAUGAAAACUUAAUGUUCCUCAUAUGGUUCUCUCAAGUCACUCGAAUGGUGUAUGAUUCCUCACCUAGGCAUAUGAUAAGAAUUACCUUCCUUAGUUCUUCCUACUUCUAAAAAGCAUAUGUGGAGUUCAAGGUAGGGAUAAAGAAAGAUAGAAUACUCACUUUGCAUUUAUUGGGAAGUCAAAGCUUGGAUCCAAGAAGAGAAGUGUCAUACCCCUAGAUCAAGAUGUGCAAGUGUGUGGUAUAUAAUGAACUAGGUUGCUCCUUUAUUUGAUAAGAUAUCUCUCUAUAUUUUUUUUUCUAUUAAGACAUGGCUAGCUCUUUUUUUUCUUUUCUUCUUUUUUCAUGGACCUUCAUGUGCCCAUAUGUAUAUAUAUGUUGCAUAGCCCUUUUGGUGUCUCAUCUAUUACACCAUAUUUGGAGAGGUAUUCUAAUACUUAAAGCAAGGAGCAAGUUAUUUGGUGGAAAUGGAAGACAUAUUUUUGCGUACUUCUAGUGUAGAAGCAGCAUGUAUAUAUGUGGUGUGUGUGUGAUCUUGAUCUUGGGAGCAUGAUAAGUCUCUUAAACAAGGGUCAACAAGACUUGACAACACUCAACACAAAUCAAAUAGCUUAUGUGGAAGGUUUAUAAACAUGUAGAGCAUAUAUGGCCGUGGUAGGAAUUUAUCAUUAGUGAGGAACAAUUAAGGUUUUGAUCAUUUUAAGAAUAAAUUCUCAGGUAUUGCAACAUGCUUAGAACAAUACUAUAGCAGCUCUAAUCUCACUAUCUCAUAUCCCUCAACAACUUAGACUUAGUUUUAGCACUUGCAACCCACAAAGUUUUUGGGUUCAUGAUGGUUUAAGUGAGCUAAGUAAUACAUACUUGGAGAAAUGCUAGGCUGUAAACUAGGUACUAAGGAAAUAUUGACAGAGUAACUAUUCAUCAUUUCCAUAAGGAAGAUAAACAUACAUGAAGCAUAUGUGUUAAGCGAGAUAAGCAAAUAUUUUUUUGAUAUUUUCUUUUUUUGAAUGCACUAAGAUGAAUAACUAGAAUGCAAAAUGCUAAGAUAGAAUACUUACCUUAGUGGGGGAGAGGAUCUCCCCCAAGCUUGGCUUUUGCUCACUGUGGUGGCGGAUAAUGUUGGAACCAUCCGGCCCAUCAUUGUGCUUCCUCAGCUUGUAUUGCUUGUAGAAGUUGGGCAUUUUGUUGUGCCAGCUGCAGCAUUGCUUCUUAUUCAAUGUGCAUUGCACCCGUGUUGUUGAUGAGGUCGUCCAUCUCUGUCCUUUGGUGGCACCUUUCCCUGCCCCGUGGGUGAGGAGUGCGUUGUGGACGUGGAGGCCUUUCCAUGGACCCUCAUAUGUCCAUAGAGCUUGCCUCAUCGCCUUCUUCAACUUCAUCUCCUGCAGGAUUUGAGGGAGCACAUUGCUCCAUUUAAGCAGCUCGUGACAUUCCUCUUGUCAUUUGGCGUGGUCCUACAAUAUUUUGGCUACGUGACUCUUUGUCUAAUUUAAUGGUUAGCGUACGAAGCGCAUACAGUUGACAUUUCUCACAAGGGAGAGGAACUUCAACUGUAUAGCCCGAAUAAACCAUUUUAAGUCCAAACCUUGGACCUCUUUUGAGCACAUUAAUAUUAAUGAAGACAUCCUCAUUUAAAACAUCUCUAGCAGAGGUGAUGUACUCAAAGGUAUGUGGCUCUAGUGCAUCCGUUGAUUCGGCUAUACGAGUAAUGAAUGAUGUAAAGUAAAUGGGUUUUCCAUACUCAAUGGAGUUGAGCCAAUAGUCCACUAGCAGUUUAACAGGUGAGACCUUAAUUUUGCAUACCAUUGCAUAGAGAAGUUUAAGUUCUUCAUCACUUAAGAUGUUACCUCUAGUUCUAAGAAAAAGAGUCAUACACAUCCACUAAUGAAGAAAACACAGGGUCAGGUUAUGGAUUUGGUGGGGUGUAAGAUUAGAGCAAUCGUUGGAACCAGAUAUUGCUUUCCAAAAGUCAUUUUUCUAAACCCGAUAGUGGCAUGGUCUAGAUCAAGUUCACAAUUGUGCUCACAUCCUAGGGUAGUGUUCAAGAUGCUCCAAGUUAAAUUACAUUUUUCCCUAAACAUGUGAAAGGCUACGCCAUUGAAUGUUAAUUGUAAAGUACACAAAAAAUCUUGGGUGAUCACUUCUAUGCCAAGUUCAGGAACCAUCCAAAAUCCUCCCCAACCAAUUGUGUUAAAAACAACAUUAAACUCUGCACUCAUACCUGUGUGGUCCAAGAGAACCGGAUCGAUGAUGCUUGUGCAGCGGAAACUGCUUGAUCGUAGGGUGUUGUAUUUCUGUAGCUCUUCUUGGGUUAGCAUGAGGCCGCUCCCGGGCUCUCUUACUCUUGGUGGAGGCUCAUAGAGUACCACUUGGUGGUGACUCUCUUCCUCAUCCCUCCUCUCAUGGGUUCCUUUGGUGUGGUGAGAGUUAUGGGAAGAGCUCUCACCCUUCUUGGACUUCUUAAACCGGGAGGUGAGUAACUUCUUCAUCUAGCUACACAAGUGAGACAAACCAAGCUCCUACUAUUCCUACUAUGCAAGGGAUAAAGGGCAAAUCUUUUUGGGUUUUUGUUUUGGGAUGCUACUACUAAGCUAAACAUUGAGAGAGAACUUGCAACAAGACAGAAGAGAAGAAUGCUUGUGAGCUCAGGAUAUUCUAAAUGGUUGGGUGUGGAGUUGAGCUCACAAUGCAUGGGUAUUUAUUGGGGGAGUGCCACACCCUGGUUUAAAAAAAUAAACCAGAGUCAUCAUAUGUGUGCCCAAGAAGUCCACACAUAUAACAAAAGAAUAGAAAUAUCAGAAACAAUGUUAUAUAUAGCGGAAAACAUAUUUAUAAUAACAGUUACAAACAUCGGGCCCAAUAUAGUUGUUAUGGUGCUUAAUCUGUAGACAGAGUAUGUGGAAACAGUAGCUAAACUUCUUUGGCUCCAUUCUUCUCAGGGACGGUUGACUGGGGGCUGUGUAUGCCAAGCACUUCUCAUAAGCUUCUAGAAAUCUCCAUGACAUCUUAACCUUCUUCUGAGCAGCACUUUGCUACGCACUGGGGGUGUGGGGGAAAUAGCAAGGGUGAGUUCAUGUCGAACUCAACAAGUACAGGUAGAAAGUAUAAUGACAUGCAAUGCUUAAUCAAAGGAAAAGCUGACACUGUUUAACUGCAGGUGAGCUUUUAAGUUGGUAAACUUUUGUUACGAUUCUUAUAUUAAAACAACCUAUUACUAAAUAUGAGUGAAGCAUCCCAACCCUUAAUUAGAUGAAAGUAAAUUAAUAAUACUAUUACUCAUCAUUAUAAUUAUUAUUAUUGUUAAGAUCUCUGAGGUAGCAACCUCAAAUAGUAACUCGGGGUAGCAACCCCAUUAAGGUCAUGGGAUAGCAAUCCCAAUUAAGAACACAUGAUAGCAAACCUGCCAACACGGAAUAGCCAUUCCGCCAAAGCACGAGGUAGCAACCUCAACCAAAUUUUGCCUCCAAGUUCCAUGUUAUUCCAAUUUGCUCAUCAUGUGAGAGUCUGGGCCGCUCGUGACCGUGAGCACGGCUGAUAUAUCAGUUUUACACUCUGCAAAGGUGUGCACUUUCACUCCAAGUCGUGAUUCCCAUUCGCCCGGGGUCGCGACUCCCCAAAACACUACCAAGGUGAGCAGGUAGGGAUUCACUACGAGACCUUUCACAGGUUCCGACUAAUAAGAUGCCACUCGUAAGUUUUUGCCGGGGCGCGCAGCAGCCGUGCCCAUAGCAAUGGGACCCCGAACUGACCGACCUCUUAAUAUGAAUACCCAAGCUACUUCCUUAGGCCUACCUGGAAAGUAACACCCUACCAGCGGAGGUCCUGAUAAUUAGUCAUGCUAGAGCCAUAUGGCUUGGAGCUGCACUGUAUGUCCCAGGGGGCCGCUCCAUGACUAAGUCCUUACGGAGAGCAGAGACGGGUACGCCCGGCAACCGGGCCAACCAACAGUACCCGCUCCCCCUUUCCUCAACAAACUACGAUGCUCACAAGCACCGCUACAUCUUCAUCACCGAAGUGACCAUUAUCCACCAUUGGAGCAUUAUUUAUCAUUGAAGAAUUCAUUAGGCAAGAUUAUUACUUUUAUUAUUAUAUAGAUUAGAUGAGCAGAGCAGCUAAGCAUAACUACUGUUCACUAUUCUACCCAUAUAUAAAACCCAGGAGUACAAGGAAUACAAUAGAAGGCUAGUCAGGUCCUUAGGGUUUGCAGUAUUAAGACACAUGCAGUUAAAGUGAAUAUAAUUAAAGUUCAUAGAUACAAUAUGAUCAAAGGGUGCCUGCACUUGCCUUUAUUCCCAGUGUAUAUCUGCUCAGAAUUCUUUGACUUCUUUCUUGUGAUCUUUAUCUUCUACUGCAACUGUUGGUCCUCAGCUCCUGGUCUUCACUGUUGACGAACCACACUUCUUCUACUCGAAGCAAACAAGCAACACAAAUAGACAAACAACAAUCACGACUAAGAUCAAACGACACUCAAAAGAAAAGCUUAGAAAGAGCGCACUAAACGACAUGGCUUGUUGCUAUGAUCGAGACAACGCGAGAACGAUUAAGAACAGAGCUAUCGUUAAACAGACACGACUUUCAAGGUUUAAAGUGUAACGGAGAAGAGAACUAUACGCUGGUCGUAUUUUGUGAACACAGGUCAUGGAUUAUUCAAAGAAAUAUCUGAAAGUUGAGUUGACCAAAUUAUAAAGAAUUAUAAAAGGUUAGGGUUAAAUGUUAGUCAUAUUCUAUUUAAUAAAUAAUUAUAUACCACUGAAGCCAAUCAAGCAUUUAUAGAAUAUAUGAAAGCAACUAAUCGAGUGAUUAUAUAUCAUGUUUAAACUAAUCAAGUUGUAAUUAAUAAAGAAACAUUAAGGUUGAUAUUAAUAACAUGGGCAUUUAUUUAUUUUCAAAAGAUCAAAAUUAUAAACAUAAUUUACUUUUAAUUCAAAAUGACUUUAGAUAGAUAUUACUAAAUUAUUUAUGUGCUUCAUGUUUAAAUAAGCAAAUUAUAAUUAAGAAAGUAUUUAAGUUCACAUUUGAUUAUAAAGAUGCCGAAGUGUAAUUCUAAGUUGUUUUUAAAUUAAUUAAAUAGAAAUGCAUUUAAAACAUUAAUCAGAUUAAUUAUACUCAUAAACAUGAGACAAUGAAAAUAGCAUUGCUAAUAUGUAGAUUACACCAACAUAGUCACAACGCAACGAGAAACAAAUUACAACCCUAGAUUGUUCUUUAAUUUAAAACCUAUUUAAUAGAUAUUAAUCAAAUUAUAUUUAAAUCAAUAAAUUCAAGAAUAAGAUACAUGAUAAAUAUUUAUACUACUACGUAAAGCGCGGCGAUACGAAACUAACUCGACAAGAACGGGCUUAAUCGGAGUUAAAACGCGGAUUCUAUGGCUAAAACUAGGUCGGUGGCAAGAUAGUGAAUAAACAGAACUAUUUUUCGUAUUUUAAAUAAUUAAAACUGAAUUUUAAAAGCGUUUUGGACUAAAUCUUUAAAUACCAAUGGAUCCAGGUGCUAGAUUGCUAAAAACAGGACUUAAACCUAAUUAUUUCCGAACUACUCAGAACUGCGGGUUAAUUUAGAAAAACCGCAGGGGCUUUUUCGCAAGAUGGCCAGGGUGAACCGGGUUUUGGCCACGCGGCGUGGCGGGGUAGGUGGAGUGCAGGAGGCGCGCGCGGGGUGAGCCGCGCCCUAGGUUGGAGCGUGGGCGAGCUGGGCCAGGAGCGCUGGCGGUCCACGCGGCAAGAGUGAGGGGGGGGGAAGGGAGCUGGGCCGGGGAAGAGGGGGGACGGCCCAGGGAGAAAGAAAACCCUUUUUCUUUUUUUUUUUAAAAAAAAUUGAUUUCUAAACUAUUUUACUAAACCAAUUUCAAAACCAUUUUGAAUUCCUAAUUUGAGAUUAUUUAGGAGCUUGUUUUCUUUAAUACUUUUGAAAACCAAGCACAUUUUCCUUAGAUCAUAUCUUUAAAUCAUUUUUCAACUCAAAAUGAAUUUAGUUUUCGAAUAUGACUUUUAGAUUUUUAUUUUUAUUUUUCUUUUCAAAAACCGAAAAGGGCCGAAACGGGCUCGAUAGAAAUUUUGAAAUUUAUUUUUUUACACAAGCCAAACAAAGCUAGGGCACCAAGCACACAAUAACAAAACAAAACACCCUUCACUUGUCUUUAUAAAAGUUUUAAAAUUCCAAAUUUUUCACUUUUUAUAAUAACAACAAUUAAUAAAAUCUUGCAAUAUUUUAGAAAAAAUUUAAAUCCUUAUUUAAUUUAGUGUUUUUCAAAUAACAAUCCAAAAAUUAAAAAUUUUGGAGUGUUAUAGAUCUACCCCACUUAACAUAAAUCUCAUCCCGAGAUUUGAAGAAACUAGAGAGAAAGAUAAAGUAGAUCAUCAAAGUUGUUUCGAGACUUUCAAGACAUGAUCAAAGAAUUAAAUAUAGACAUAAAGGGUAGAGAGUAUGGUAAAGAUUGAAGACAAGGAAAGAUAAUCGUAUGAGAUAAGAAUUGAUCUUUGGAUCGUGUAUUAUGAUAAGGUGCAAGGGCAAGAAGCCAAUAUUAACAAGAGAUGAUACAUAGGAGAUGGAUAUAAUAUUGCUCACAAUUUCCUUGAUUCCGGGUAUGUAUAAGAUAGUAGACGAAAGGAUAAAGAAUUAGCAGAAGUUGACAAAGACUUAGAUUUUUUUUAAGUCUUCACGCUUAAUCAUUUGUAGUCCUAUGAGACGUAGGAUCAAAGAUCGUCGAUUGGCAAACAUGAUAAGGGUUCAUCGCAAGAAUGAUAAAGAUUCUUAUAUAGUUCUCCAUGUCUUUCUGAUUAGAGAUUUUCGAGAGUGAUGAUCGUAGCGAAUGCUGCCCCACUUAGACCAAGUGUUUGCUCAUCUUCAAAACUCCUAUAUAAGAACACUCAUCUUGUCCGUAGAUAAUCUGCAAAGUUUUCCUUUGGAGGUUACUAGUUCGACAAUACACUGCACCUCUUAAGAUUUGAGGGACACGAAGAGAAACAAAAAGAUGAUUAGAAAGAAUAGAUUGAAAUAAUCUCAGGUAUCUCAAUAAAGGUGUGAGACUUAAACCAAAAGUCGAUAAGGUUAUCUAGUAGAAGGUUCUUGAACAGUAUCUAGAAAAGCAACCCAAGGGGUCUGUUAAGAUCGACCAUAUAUCGGUAUGGUUUUCAUCUGACUUUCAGGUUAUGCAUUUUGUCACGUGAUAGUCCAUCAUAUAUUACAGGGUGAAAAAUAAGUCUUAUCUUAGGACCUCGGUUUCUUAAUGCCUUGCUUUGAUAGGUCAACAGACAUCACACUUUCUAUGAUACUUGGUGCUUCUUUGUGGUCUCCAUAGAUGAGUUCUAAGCAGAUUUGACCUACUACUUGCAGUGUUGGGAGAAUGAUGCAAGAAAGAACUACACAAAGGAUGUUGACUCAUUCUAUAAGGAGUAUUUAAGAUCGCUUCAUAGGUAAGCACUACCACUUGAUGUUGGGACAACACUAGGUGCUUCGCCCAAGGUUCCGUCGGUUACCAUAAAAAGACUGAACAUCUGGUCAAACAACUCAUUACUCAUACUAGAAGCUUAAGAAUGAUAAGGUCUGAUGAAAUAGAUGUCUCACUUUACAAAGAGGAUUACAAGUUGCCUGAAUGCAAAAAAUCUUUAUUAGCUAAAAGGCAUAACUGACUUUAGAUUUCAUAGACCAUUAUUGACUAGCUCAAAACUAUCUGGGUCCCUUAAUAUAACUUGCUUCACAUAAGAUGUUGAGAAUAUAUCGCCUUUGUAUAAGGUCCACAUUUCUUUCAAACUGCCUCGUUGUCGAUACAAUCAUUACAUGAGUCCUUUAAACCUUGGGGUGAGGUCGAGGUGCCUUCAUACACAAACCUGUCUCCUGAUGGGGUGAUUAGGGAUACUGAGUGUUGGGUACAAUCAAUCUCUCCAUGACAAGCAGUUAACCAUCCUCUUCCAAGAACGACAUCAAUCUCCAUUGACUCUAGGACUAUAAGAUUUACCUCAAAAAUUACACAUUUUAUGUCGAGACAAACUUUUGGACACAUGUAGGUUGCUCUUAUUUUCCCUCUUGGUGAUUUGACCAGUAUGAGUCUCUUCAUUUCCAACAUAAGCAUCUUAUGAUCGGCAACACAUUUACUCGAGAUAAAAGAAUGUGAAGAACCUGAGUCGAACAAAACAGUGGCAGGAGUUGAGUUGACUAGAAUUGAUCCAAACACCACAUUUUGUGCUUCGCAAGCAGUACACAUAUCCACAUGGUUCAAUCUACCAUUAACAUAGUCACGAACUGGGUACUUCUUUGGACAAUGCUUCUUGUGAUGUCCCUCUUCGUGACACUGGUAACAAGCAUUGCUAACAGUUUUAACAUAGGUGCCAUCCUAACAUUGAGCUCCUUGAAUUGAUGUGCUAGGAGUAACUAAAGUGCUACUAACUUGUUGGUUCUGAGGGUUCACUUUCAAUGGAGUCUCUUCACUAUUUCGCUUCUUAGCUUGAUUACUUUUUCGAGGAUGAAGUUCUAUGUAGGUGAUGGUCCAUCCAUCUAGGCAUAACUCUGGCAUAGCAAGUGUAGCUGAAGGGGCAUCUAACUCUUCAAGAUAUGAAUGUGUCUGAUGAGAGUUUGGAGCUAAAUCUAACUGCCAUGUAGAACUCAGAUUUGGCUCAACACUUAACAGUGGCUCUAGGGAGAUUGCCUUCUUUUCUUGUUACCUUCAGUCUGUUGAUCCUAGGGUACUUCUACCUUUCCUUCGCUUGACUUUUUCUAAAGGCACGGUAAACCAUAAUAUCUGCAACAAUUACAUGGCUCUUGAAUCCCAAGCGCCUCAUUAAUACCAUCUGUUGACGGUCCUUGAGUAUCAAAUUUAAUUAUCAAAUAAACAAAGAAAAGGAUCCAAAUGAAAUCAACAUCUAGACUUAGGGUUUUAUCUAACAGAAUUCCACGAGUUUUGGUGUUUGUCUAUUUUUGCAGGGGGUUAUCUGGAAAUACGGAAGAAAGGCCCACACGUCAGGAUUACAUGGAGAUAUUAACGUGUCGCGCAAUUAUCUUACAUCUAGAAGACUCCAGAAGCCACGAGACCGAAGCGGAGGCGAAUCGGGGCCAGAGGCAGGGCGCCCGCCCUCCUGCCCUGGGCGCCCGCCCCCUCCCUGAGUCCAAUCAGGACUCUGCUUCGUGGGAGAUCUCCACCGACCUAAAGGAUGAAUCUAAACCAUACAAUCUAUGUCGGUUUGAUCCAACGGCCCAUAUUCACUUGAAGGGACUAUAAAACUAGACCCCCUGGCCCCUGGAGGAGAGAGCCUCUCAACCCUAAUUCAUUGUUCUUCAAGGGAGAAGAAGUCUCUGAUCAAGAUUAGAGCCACCACAUCAAUUAGAUAUCUAGAUUAGCAUAGCUACAUAGGAUUGGAGUCAAUCUUCGAUUGGUUUCCGGAUCUAUCAAGAGGAUUCUUGGUAAUUCUCUAAUUGUGCUUCUAAUUACUUUCUAAUUAUCUUUGUUCUUCAAUAUUAUGAAUAUGACUUUGUUCUACUUCAAUAUAUUGCUUAUGACUUUGCUCUACUUGCUUAUAUUCAAGAUUAUAUUGUUCUUAGUUUAUCAUAGUUAUGUACUUGGCUUAGUUAGAUUGGAUCUAUAUACAUGCUUAGGAUCGUAUAGCGUUUAUCCAUCGAAUCCAUGGGUAAAUGAUAGAUAUUGUGUAGGCGUGAUGCUUAUACCGUAUUUAUCUGCGAUUGUACCCAAUAUGCCAGAUCGUGGGGUGGUUCAUGAUAGUGACAGCUUCAUUGAUUCUUAUAUAGUCCCCCUCUUGUGUAUUGGGCUGGCAGAGCAACAUUAUUACAGGGGAGUGAUUGCUAUGUUUCUCAUAUUCCUUGCUAAUAUCACUAUGCAUGGGCGUAGUCUUGUCUCGCAAUGAUUGCUAAGUAUGCUUGCACUAACUAUGAUAAUGCUAGACUAUAUAGUUAAGAAUAACUUAGGGAAUAUUCUUGUAGUUCGUUCUAAUACCAUGCUAAUGACUUUCUAGAGUAUCUAAUUGAGGUGCUUAUCAUAUUUAUAUGUGGCUGAUCAGAUUAAUUACCUUUGUCACUAUUCAUUAUUUCAUUAUUUAUUUAGAAGAGCAAUUGCAUUUUUCAAUACCGCGUCUCUCAUGUCAUGCUGGGGAUGACAACUUGGCUUAAGUGGUAUGAGGGAUAGGUUUGGCAUUUUUGGCACCGUUACUAGAUUUAGGGAACUUAGUCUACUUUUGGUAAUGAUGUUAAGAAUACCCAACACCAUCUUUCCUAGUUUCCAUGUUCCUCCAGACUUCUACUAUUUGUCUCUUCAUUGCUCCUUCCUGAGUUUUGGUCAUUGUCUUCUCUGAAUGUAACUGAGAAUCUUUUUGUGGUCCCACUACACUUAGUACUUGAUCCUGUGUAAACAAAGGCUUCUCCUUGUUUACUAGUGACAAGGGUAACAUGGUUGGGUCUUUCUGACAUUUGAUGUAAGCUUCUUCUAUGUCACCUUGGAGAAGUAGAGCUUGUACAAUCAAAAGUUUCUAGAGUCUGGCCAUCUGAUCAGCUACCAUCUUUAGGAUCUGAGCUUGCCAGGCUAUCACCUAUUCACCACUUAGUUGUGUUGUAGAAGGCAUUUGUUGACUCUGAUCACUGGUAUUAAUUCCUUUGACCAAGCAAAACAAGCACGCAACACAUCAACGAUACUACACGUGCUUCUUCAACAGUGGUGGUCAUCCUAAAAGGUAGGUCUGAGAUGAUGAAGGGCCAUCGACAUUGGGAAAUAAAGCAAGUUUUGAAAACUUAAGUAAAACACAUAAUAAACAAAAGCUAAGGAGAUAAAUAGAAAUAGCUCAAAGGAAGCUAUUCAAGGAGGGGAUACAACAUGACAAGGAUGAAGAAAUAGUCAAGGGACGAGAAAAUAGUUUUAUAUCAAAAUAAGCUUUAGAAAUCGACCAGUGCUAUCUAGGCAUACGUCCUACAGUCAACAUUGCUUUGAUACCAUUCCUAUCACACCCUGGUUUAAAAAAAUAAACCAGAGUCAUCAUAUGUGUGCCCAGGAAGUCCACACAUAUAACAAAAGAAUAGAAAUAUCAGAAACAAUGUUAUAUAUAGUGGAAAACAUAUUUACAAUAACACUUACAAACAUCAGAGUAUGCGGAAAUAGUAGCUAAACUUCUUUGGCUCCAUUCUUCUCAGGGACGGUUGAGUGGGGGCUCCGUAUGCCAAGCACUUCUCAUAAGCUUCUAGAAAUCUCCAUGACAUCUUAACCUUCUUCUGAGCAGCACUUUGCUACGCACUGGGGGUGUGGGGGAAAUAGCAAGGGUGAGUUCAUGUCGAACUCAACAAGUACAGGUGGAAAGUAUAAUGACAUACAAGGCUUAAUCAAAGGAAAAGGUGACACUGUUUAACUGCAGGUGAGCUUUUAAGUUGGUAAACUUUUAUUACGAUUCUUUUAUUAAAACAACCUAUUACUAAAUAUGAGUGAAGCAUCCCAACCCUUAAUUAGAUGAAAGUAAAUUAAUAAUAUUAUUACUCAUCUUUAUAAUUAUUAUUAUUGUUAAGAUCUCCGAGGUAGCAACCUCAAAUAGUAACUCGGGGUAGCAACCCCAUUAAGGUCAUGGGAUAGCAAUCCCAAUUAAGAACACAGGAUAGCAAUCCUGCCAACACGGAAUAGCCAUUCCGCCAAAGCACGAGGUAGCAACCUCAACCAAAUUUUGCCUCCAAGUUCCAUGUUAUUCCAAUUUGCUCAUCAUAUGAGAGUCUGGGCCACUCGUGACCGUGAGCAUGGCUGAUAUAUCAGUUUUACACUCUGUAGAGGUGUGCACUUUCACUCCAAGUCGUGAUUCCCAUUCGCCCGGGGUCGCGACUCCCCAAAACACUACCAAGGUGAGCACGCAGGGUUUCACUACGAGACCUUUCACGGGGUCCGACUAAUAGGAUGCCACUCGUAAGUUUUUGCCGGGGCGCGCGGCAGCCGUGCCCAUAGCAAUGGGACCCCGAACUGACCGACCUCUUAAUAUGAAUACCCAAGCUACUUCCUUACGCCUACCCGAAAAGUAACACCCUACCAGCGGAGGUCCUAAUAAUUAGUCAAGCUAGAGCCAUAUGGCUUGGAGCUGCACUGUAUGUCCCAGGGGGGCGCUCCAUGACUAAGUACUUACGGAGAGCAGAGAUGGGUACGCCCGGCAACCGGGCCAACCAACAGUACCCGCUCCCCCUUUCCGCAACAAACCACGAUGCUCACAAGCACCACAACAUCUUCGUCACCGAAGUGACCAUUAUCCACCAUUGGAGCAUUAUUUAUCAUUGAAGAAUUCAUUAGGCAAGAUUAUUACUUUUAUUAUUAUAUAGAUUAGAUGAGCAGAGCAGCUAAGCAUAACUACUAUUCACUAUUCUACCCAUAUAUAACACCGAGUACAAGGAAUACAAUAGAAGGCUAGUCAGGUCGUUAGGGUUUGCAGUAUUAAGACACAUGCAGUUAAAGUGAAUAUAAUUAAAGUUCAUAGGUACAAUAUGAUCAAAGGGUGCCUGCACUUGCCUUUAUUCCCAGUGUAUAUCUGCUCAGAAUUCUUUGACUUCUUUCUUGUGAUCUUUAUCUUCUACUGCAACUGUUGGUCCUCAGCUCCUGGUCUUUACUGUUGACGAACCACACUUCUUCUACUCGAAGCAAACAAGCAACACAAAUAGACAAACAACAAUCACGACUAAGAUCAAACGACACUCAAAAGAAAAGCUUAGAAAGAGCGCACUAAACGACAUGGCUUGUUGCUAUGAUUGAGACAACGCGAGAACGAUUAAGAACAGAGCUAUCGUUAAACAGACACGACUUUCAAGGUUUAAAGUGUAACGGAGAAGAGAACUAUACGCUAGUCGUAUUUUGUGAACACAGGUCAUGGAUUAUUCAAAGAAAUAUCUGAAAGUUGAGUUGACCAAAUUAUAAAGAAUUAUAAAGGUUAGGGUUAAGUGUUAGUCAUAUUCUAUUUAAUAAAUAAUUAUAUACCACUGAAGCCAAUCAAGCAUUUAUAGAAUAUAUGAAAGCAACUAAUCGAGUGAUUAUAUAUCAUGUUUAAACCAAUCAAGUUGUAAUUAAUAAAGAAACAUUAAGGUUGAUAUUAAUAACAUGGGCAUUUAUUUAUUUUCAAAAGAUCAAAAUUAUAAACAUAAUUUACUUUUAAUUCAAAAUGACUUUAGAUAGAUAUUACUAAAUUAUUUAUGUGCUUCAUGUUUAAAUAAGCAAAUUAUAAUUAAAAAAGUAUUUAAGUUCACAUUUGAUUAUAAAGAUGCUGAAGUGUAAUUCUAAGUUGUUUUUAAAUUAAUUAAAUAGAAAUGCAUUUAAAACAUUAAUCAGAUUAAUUAUACUCAUAAACAUGAGAGAAUGAAAAUAGCAUUGCUAAUAUGUAGAUUACACCAACAUAGUCACAACGCAACGAGAAACAAAUUACAACCCUAGAUUGUUCUUUAAUUUAAAAGCUAUUUAAUAGAUAUUAAUCAAAUUAUAUUUAAAUCAAUAAAUUCAAGAAUAAGAUACAUGAUAAAUAUUUAUACUACUACGUAAAGCGCGGCGAUACGAAACUAACUCGACAAGAACGGGCUUAAUCGGAGUUAAAACGCGGAUUCUAUGGCUAAAACUAGGUCGGUGGCAAGAUAGUGAAUAAACAGAACUAUUUUUCAUAUUUUAAAUAAUUAAAACUGAAUUUUAAAAGCGUUUUGGACUAAAUCUUUAAAUACCAAUGGAUCCAGGGGCUAGAUUGCUAAAAACAGGACUUAAACCUAAUUAUUUCUGAACUACUCAGAACUGCGGGUUAAUUUAGAAAAACCGCAGGGGCUUUUUCGCAAGAUGGCCAGGGUCAACAGGGUUUUGGCCGCGUUGACGGCCACGCGGCGCGGCGGGGUAGGUGGGGUGCAGGAGGCGCGCGCGGGGUGAGCCGCGCCCUAGGUUGGAGCGUGGGCGAGCUGGGCCAGGAGCGCUGGCGGCCCACGCGGCAAGAGUGAGGGGGGGAAGGGAGCUGGGCCGGGGAAGAGGGGGGACGGCCCAGGGAGAAAGAAAACCCUUUUUCUUUUUUUAAAAAAAUUGAUUUCUAAACUAUUUUACUAAACCAAUUUCAAAACCAUUUUGAAUUCCUAAUUUGAGAUUAUUUAGGAGCUUGUUUUCUUUAAUAUUUUUGAAAACAAAGCACAUUUUCCUUAGAUCAUAUCUUUAAAUCAUUUUUCAACUCAAAAUGAAUUUAGUUUUCGAAUAGGACUUUUAGAUUUUUAUUUUUAUUUUUCUUUUCAAAAACCGAAAAGGGCCGAAACGGGCUCGAUAGAAAUUUUGAAAUUUAUUUUUUUACACAAGCCAAACAAAGCUACGGCACAAAGCACACAAUAACAAAACAAAACACCCUUCACUUGUCUUUAUAAAAGUUUUAAAAUUCCAAAUUUUUCUCUUUUUAUAAUAACAACAAUUAAUAAAAUCUUGCAAUAUUUUAGAAAAAAUUUAAAUCCUUAUUUAAUUUAGUGUUUUUCAAAUAACAAUCCAAAAAUUAAAAAUUUUGGAGUGUUAUAGGGAGAAGGGCAAGUGGUGGAAACCCUAUGUAGGGAUCAACCGACCCCCCUCCUAGCACUUUAAUUCAAAAUUUGCUUUGGCCAGGGAAUCUUACAUCAAAGUAUGAAAUCACUUUUCAGAGAUGGUCCAAAGUGGGGUCGUCCGACCCCCACCCUAAGCCCUCUUUUGCUAGGUGUGGACCAAAGGGCUAGGUGUGGACCAAAAGUAGUGAUCUUUUUUAGAGAUUCCCUUGCCUAUGCUUAGUGAAAGAGAAAAGAUGAUAGGCUAAAGUGGAGACAUGUCAUAAGAUAUUCCCAUGGACCAUGGAGACACUAAAGCAUGCCUAUGUGACCACUUUGCAGGAGUUGAGCAUGGUGGCAUGGUCCCAACACUUUAAAGAUGAAAGCAACAUCUUAUGUUUAAAGUGAUAAAGCAAAGGACCAUUUCUUUUCAGACCUUGGUUAGAGUGGUAUGCAUAGGAUUUAUGUGUUAAGCAUCUGGGAGACAGUAGAGUGCAGGUGACCCAAUAUGGGGGUCAGGUGACCCCCCACUUUGGUCCUCCACUUGCACCCAAGUCCUGGCAUCAUAUCACUAUACUAAGCCAAGGCGAAAGAAUGGUCAGUGGGCCCAAUGGUGGGGUCAGGCAACCCCACUUUUGGUGGUCCAACUGCUCAAAAAUUAUUGCAAGUUGUUCUCAAGUAUUUAUUUAUUGGGGUUAAGUAUUUUGUCAAAAAUAAAAUAUGCAAGAUUAUAACUAAGAAUGCAAUUGAAAAGUGCAAGACAAGAAUGCAGAAAGCAAAUAUGAGAUAACUAUUUAUUUACAUUACCAGCAGGGGCUCCAUGUUUUAGGUCCAUAGAGCAGGACCUCUCCAUUUUGUUCAUGCUUUGGGUGCCUCGGAUGGUCCUAGAGAUGGGGACCGUGAUUGCACCUUUCUCCCGCCAUACUGGUUUGAUUUUGGCCUGUGGUUCAGCGGGUUCUUCCUUCUCUAGUUUGACUUUGUUGGCCGACUCACCUUUCUUAUUCCUUCGGCGCGGGUAAUAGCGAGGUUUGUUCUUCGGUGCCUUGUCCUUCACUUGCAUGUUAGUUUUAUAACCAUUGAAUGGACACUUUACCUUUGCUCCUAGGAAUUGAAGAUGAAUUUGGCCGGACCCCACAUAGAUGAUAAUGUUGGCUGUGUUAAGGAAGGGCCUUCCCAGGAUGAUAGGAUUAUCAGCUCCCAUGUCUAGGAUGAUGAAGUCGGCGGGGGCGUAUUUGUCUUGUACUUUGACUAGUAUGUCCCUUGCUAGUCCCUUAGGGAACCAGAUCGUUUGAUCGGCCAUCUGCAAUUGAACAAAUGUUGGGAGCAAAGGCCCCCCUAAUAGGUUCUCAUAAGUUACCUUGGCCAUGAUGUUAACACCUCAUCCAAGGUCGCAUAAGGUGUUGUGGAAGAUUUGUGGUCCAAUUUCACAGGUGUUGGUUGGGUGGCUUCGAUCGUCCUUCUUGGUGAUUAAUGGUUGGUCAAGGAGAUAACUCUAGUUUGACUGCAAUGGAGGCUUACUGAACCUCAUGUUUACUAAUUUAACACCUUCAAUUGGAUCCUCAGGUUUCCCUAGGAUCUUACCUUGCUCGAUGGAUGGGACACCUGCUGCUAGUUGAGCUAAUUGUGUUUCUAGCAUUUUAUUGAAGCUCAAUUGAUUUUUCACAGCAGAGUUAAAGCUAUCCAUUUUCUCACUUAAGUUUUCAAGAAUCUUAUCAUUAGCCAUCAUUUUCUUAUUUAUGCUAUCAUUUAUUUUGGACUAGCCUAAGACAAGAUCUUUAAAGAAGGUUGGUUACCAUAAGAAUUAUUGAAAUUAUUGUUGUAACUAUUUCCUUGGUUUUGGUAGAAGGGACGCGAGUUCCAUCCUUGUUGUUGUUGUUUGGGCUAGUACCCGUUGUUGUUGUUGUUGUUGUUGUUGUUGUUGAUGAUGAUGAAGCUCACUUCCUCCUUUGUUUUGGGACAAUUAUUUCCCGAAUGAUCUUCUCCUCCACAUACUUCGCACCAUGGACCAGCUUUGACGACUCGUGCGGUUGCGUAGGGUUGAAUGACCUCUUGUUCCUUCUUGGAACCUUUUUCUACCUUUUUCAUCAAGAGGUCCAUUUUAGCGGAGAGCAUGUCCACCUCAUUGAGGGCGUGGACACCUCUCUUCUUGGGCUGGAGGCGUUCCUCAUUCCAUUCUUGAUUUGUAACCAUCUUCUCUAUGAGGUCUUUGGCAUCCAUGACGUUGUGUUGCAAGAAUGCGCCUCCAGUAGCAGCAUCAAGGUGACUCUGGGCCAAACCGGUUAGGCCAUGGUAGAAACCUUGAUUGAGGAGCCAUUCCUCUAUCCCAUGAUGAGGACAGGCACGAAUGUACUCCUAGAUAUGUUCCUGUUGAUGCAAAACUGGUCUGUAAACACAAAGGGCUAAUACCCGAUUCAAACGUUAAGGCGUGCCAGCCGAUUUGACCUUGCUAUCGGCAAAGGUGAUAACUCGAAUACUUUAGUCCUGACAACAGCGAUGCGCCCGGAUGUCACGGCUAAGAGGUACUCACGCGGAACUUGAGAACACGCCGAGCUUAAGUCGACGAAUUCCUAAGAACUCGUAACAAAAGGAAAAAGUAUGACGAAGUCGUCGAAAAGUAAAUGCUGGAAUAUGAGUAAAAACGUGUGUUUGAUUUCUUGAUUGAUUUUUACAAGGCCCUAGGGUCUAUAUUUAUACCCUGCUCAAAGAGCUACAACCAGACAUGAUUAGAAUUCGAAUUCCAAAUUACACGGAAUCCGUAUACAAAACGAUGCAAAUAAUUAAGGAAAUAACAAAACUAUCCCUCGUGACAAACCGAAACUCCUCCAUAUAACGACCGACAGCUUCCAGACUCCUCCUUUGCAUCAUCGGCAGAUCCUUUGCCAUAGUCAUCGGCAUACUUUCUUAUCUAGCCAUCGGCACCAUAUUACUGCCUGUGGACUUAGUCACAUUCAACUUCUCCCUCAUCGGCAACCAUCCUCAUCGGCAACCCGCUUUGUAAACAUCGUACUGCCACCUUAUCCUGCCAUCCUAGACACGUGCCCAAAAAUGGUGUCAACACAUGCACCCCAGUUUCGGAGUAUAAAACUAUUAAUGCUCCGAAAUUCUCUGCAGUAAUGAUGCCUUCUCCCGCAAUUAAUGCUCCUAAUCUGGUAACCGACAACCUCAAUCUGGACAACUCUGAUCCUAAUCCUCCGUAGAUUCCUCGAAAUCCCCAACUUCCUAAACGGGCAUUUUUCUCAGUCGUACAUCGGCAACAAUACCGUUACAAAGAUCUGCCGAUGUUCCGACCAGGAUAUUCGCAAAAACGGUUACUUCCCCUCUAUCCGCCCAUCGGCAAUAUGACCGUUAUAGAAUAUCGCCGAUGGACCGACCAGGAGAUCUCGCACAGUAAAAUAUCUUCAGAUAAUGACCGCUUCCCGUCAAAUCACCUGCACAAUCCCUGGAUUACCGUGCGAACAGUUACCAUAUCCACCUGAGUACCCUCGGAUUUCUCGGAUGCGGCAAAGAGAUAAGUCGGAUUUGCCCUUGCCCAUCUUGUCCUAUAAAUAGUUCCUUCUUGGGUACUCCUUCCCUAUCACACCAUUCUACUACCCAACUUUACUUCUCCAGCGGCGGCGCCACCAAAAACUCCUAAGGUCUCCGACAAGUACCCCUCUUCAUCAACUCCGGCGCCUUCACACGCUUCCUUCGCAGCAAGAUGGCCAUCGGGUUCGUCGUCCCUGAGGUCAAAUCUCCACCCCGUCUCCUGUAUUUUUCUUCAUAUCCCUGUUCACUCGCAAUUCAUUUUACUGAACAUCUUCCUUUUCUUUCCUCUUUGUAUUUCUUUUUACGCCCAAAAUCACUAGGAAUUGUCCAACAAAAUUGUCAUCCCCACCGAUCAACCACACCUUCAAUGCCUCGGCCCUCUAGGGGACCCAGAUCCAACUGACCUUAUCAACGCAGAAACCAACAGGAUCCCCUUCAGAGCCGAAAAUUUUUCCUUAGAUCUGUGGAAGGACACCUUCCGCUCUUGGCCCAGCCCAACUGUAGGGUGGAAAGACUGGUUCUUGAGGGUCAGCAACUCUAAUGAAGUUCAGUGGGGUGAAAGGAAUCUAGCCCAAUGCAUUAGAUUGUCCAUUACCGAUAUGCAUAGGAACGAGUCACUGUUGAUAGCUGCAUCCUACUUUUGGUCAGACACUCUCAAUGCUUUUGCCUUUGGCCACGGCCCUGCUUCUCCUACUCUUGCCGAUGUAGCCAUGCUUACUGGUCUAGAUAUAUCUUCUGCCGAUAGCACCCACUUUUUUGAUACUGCCCCUAGUGCCAACGUGGAGACUCGUGCUAUCGGCGGUUGGUCGGGAUACAUUCAGAAGUACCGUGGGAAAGGAUCUGUCACCAUAAAGGAACAAACCACCUUUCUGAACAUGUGGCUAGACAAGUUUGUAUUCUGUGGUCGAUCGGCAGGACCGACUUCUGUCUACCUAUCGGCAGCAGAAAGACUGGCUAACGGUGGCCGAUUCCCUCUCGGCCGAUACUUGCUUGGCGCUGCUUACCACCUUCUCCAUCAAGUAGCCCAGAAACUUCUGCUCGGCCAAUCCAUUGGCAACUUGGGAGGCCCCUGGUGGUUUGUCAACAUGUGGCUCAAUCUGCAUCUGCACAAGCGUCUCAACUUCAACCUGUUCACACAGCGUUUCCCAGGAGAUAUAGCUGAAAACCAUGUAUUGGGUGAAGAGGAAUCGGCAACACGCGCCCCCUUGAACUUUGGUGAAGCUGUCAUAGUUCUGCCUGGUUCAGGGGGUAAUCCAGAUCAGAUCGGCCGAUUCUUCCAGUCUCUGUAUGAGGGUUUGACCAGAGACGAACGACCAUGGUUGGCUUAUGAUGACCCAGAUAGCAUGCUCCCUCUGACCUUCAAUCCAUUUGAUGAAGCUCUCGACAGGGAUAAUGAGGUGAUGAUGGCAAUUGUGACUCCCAGAAUCAUUCCAGUGAAUUUCUUUGGUAGCACAAAAACCUCCCCUCAAACUUACGAAUUUUACAAUCCAUCGGCAUUAGCUCGCCAGCUAGCUUUCGGCCAGUUGCCGAUUGCACUUCCUUAUGCCGAUGUGAUAAAACCCAGAGAAACUAUCAACAACCUUCUUGAGUGGACUCGAGCAGCCCAACUACCACCAAACGCCGAUAUAGAUGUAGAUCUGUCAGAAUGGGUCCCGACUGCUUUUAUCACUCAGGCAUACAAGUUAUGGUGGGCAGAAUGGAAAGAGCAUCUGUUCUGUAGAUCGGCACUUUCAUUCCGCGGCAUGAUUGACCCCGAAUACGAAGUUCCUGAUGACACUGUAAGUAAUUCAAACCAACGUUUCAUUUUCUCAAUAUUACCUCCAUCGGCAGCUUACCCUUGUAUUCCUUUUGCAGGUUGAUAAUAUUCCUCCGUUGGUUAGCAGGAGUGGCAGGCCGAUCGACUUGUUUCCAUCAGGCCCGAUUUCCUCAAUCGGCCACAAUGCUCCCACUCUAGCUUCCAUCGUGCAUCGGGGUGUACGCCUCAGGAAAGUCACCACCAGAAGAACCCAGACAUCACCAACGGUAGCUGCUCCCACUCUCACGCGGGCUUUCAAGGCAAUUUGUCAAAUCUUUUCCUUUAUGCUGACUAUCUUUAUAUCGGCUAUAUUUAUGCUUAUAAACUCUUGUUCAUUAUUGCAGCAAACCGGCGCAUCGGCGAAAGCCAGGCGUGAGUGUACCGAUGCCCCCCAGUCUAGCCAACCCAAGAGAAAGGGCACCACGGGUGCUAAGACUGGAACAAAGCGCCAGAAGGUAGCAAUCCCCCCUCCUCCUCCGGUAUCUCCAAUUCCGGUGGAAUCUUCUCCUUCUUCUCCAGAAGGCCAGCCACAGCAAGCACCAUCUCCCCCACCUAUGCAGGAAGCACCACAGAUAGAAGAACCCCAACAGGAAGGAUCUCAAACAGAAGAUACAUCAGUUGAGAUGGGUGAACAAACAACUGGCCCGGUGAGUCCAGUUAUACCAUCGGCAGUUCUCCCGGUUCAGACAACCGUUGUCCCUCCUCCAGGUAACAUACUUUAACAAUAUCGCUACCGAUGAACUUAUUCUUAUUUAGUCUCAUAACUCCUUUUGUCUUCUUUCAGUUGAUAUUGUUCCAUCGGCAAUCUCAACCGAUCAACCUGUAGCUCCAUCGGCAUCUUUGGCCGAUCAGCCUGUAGCUCCGUCAGUACUUCUCAGUCAAAGACAAGAGAUCGCCUUGAAGCAAGUAAGUCACCGUUUACCGUUAGCAUUAUUUGCCGAUUCUCUGAGUAUGAGCUAAUUUUGCCUUCCCUCCCAGGAACAAGAUUCUCCCGAUAGCCUGUUCUCCUUUGCCAUCGAUCUCUCUGAAGAAGAAGGUGAAGAAGCAAGCUCUUCUCAGACGGUCGGCAUCACAUCGGCAGAGAUCAGGGUCAGGCUGGAAGAAUUGUCAGCUCUCCUUCACCAAGACACAGCGCAAUUGGUUGAUGAUUCUGACCCUACCAAGACCCUGUUCAGAACUCUCAGAGGCCAAUCCCAGCCGAUGUUGAAGAAAUCCUGUUCCAAGCCGCUCAUCUGGAGAGUCGCCAGCUGCAGUACCAAAGAGCUUCUCGGCGGCUUGCCGAUAGAGCCGCUCAGACUCAACUCUCCGAUGAAAUGAGGAAAGAGAAGCUUUUGACCGAUGAGAAGCACAAGAACAUCGGUAUCCUGAGAUCUUCCGGAGACGCGCUAAGGCAGAAGAUAUCCGAUUUAUCGGCAAGAAAAGAGUCUCUGUUGGCGGAGCUCAAGGAAGUAGAGAACGCUCUGUCCCAAGCCCAACAGGAAGAGAGCCAAUUGCCAGAGACCAUCAGGCUUCUUGAGCGCGAGCGAAAUGCCCAUGGUCGCAAAGCACUCCAACUGAAGAAGAAGCUGAAGCCGAUAGAAGGUUCUGCCGAUGAUGACAUCAAGGAGAUAGAAGCAGCCAACCAAAUUCGGCUACGCGCUAUAUCGGCAAUCCAGACGCUGCUUAACACAUAGAGUUUCCAUCGGCAUUGUAUCCUCAGCUUUUAGUCUAGCCGAUAGGAGUGUUAUCGGCGCCUAAACUUUUGAAACACCAAGUCUUGUCCCCAAGCAUUUGGAUCCAGCCGAUAGGAGUGUUAUCGGCACCUAAACUUCUAUGCAUCGACCCAUAUACUGGGGUAGUACUUCUUUAAAUAUUUGCCGUUUAAUGCUCUGGGAAAUUCAAUUCCUUCGAGGGUUUCUAGAAUGUAGGCAUUACCAGGAGCCGAUCGACUUAUCCGAUAAGGACCCUCCCAAUUAGGAGACCACUUUCCAAACUUCGAACUUUUGGUCCCAAUUGGUAAAAUUACUUUCCAUACCAAAUCCCCAUCGGCAAACUCUUUAGCCUUCACUUUCUUAUCAUACCAUCUAGCAACUCUCUUCUUAUUUUCUUCUAUACUCAUUAAAGCUUUUAACCGAUGCCCUGCUAGAUCAUCCAAUUCAUCGGUCAUCAAAGUGGCAUAAUCGUCGGAAGUUAAUUGAUCUUGAAAAGAUAAUCGCCUAGAUCCAGCCUUAAUUUCCCAAGGCAACACUGCAUCAUGUCCAUACACCAAUUGAUAGGGUGAUACCUUGGUCGAUCCAUGACAAGCCAUCCGAUAAGACCACAAUGCUUCAUUUAAUAAUGUAUGCCACCGCCUAGGAUUUUCUUCAAUCUUUCGUUUAAUAAGCUUGAUAAUUCCUUUGUUAGACGCUUCGGCCUGCCCAUUGGCUUGAGCAUAAUAAGGAGAAGAAUUCAACACUUUAAUUCCCAUACCGAUUGCGAAUUCAUCGAACUCCCCUGAUGUGAACAUGGUGCCCUGAUCGGUAGUAAUCGUUUGGGGAAUCCCAAAUCGGUAAACAAUAUGCUCCUUCACAAAAUCAAUCAUAUUGGCCGAUGUAACUUUCUUCAAAGGAAUAGCUUCAACCCACUUAGUGAAAUAGUCAGUGGCAACUAGAAUGAACUUAUGCCCUUUGCUAGAUGGUGGAUAAAUCUGGCCGAUCAGAUCGAUGGCCCAUCCCCGGAACGGCCAAGGCUUUAUUAUAGGAUUCAUAGCCGAUGCGGGUGCUCUCUGGAUAUUACCAAACUUUUGACAACCUUGACAUCCCUUGAAAUAUUUAAAACAAUCUUCAAGUAUGGUCGGCCAAAAAUAUCCAUUCCUUCGAAUCAUCCACUUCAUCUUAAAAGCUGACUGAUGCGCUCCACACACUCCUUCAUGGAUUUCCCCCAUCAAACCUCUAGCUUCAUCAUCACCCAAGCAUCGGAGAAGAAUUCCGUCGAUAGUUCGAUAAUACAAUUCAUUUUCAAGGAGCACAUACUUGGUUGCUUGAAAUCGAACCCGUCUUUCAACUUUUUUGGAUGGAUCUGUUAGAUAAUCAAUAAUUUCUUUCCUCCAAUCACCGGCACCGACUGCCGAUGUCGCAUUAAUCAUUGGCUGAUAUCCCGAGGCAUGCUGAGCUAACCGAUUAGCGUCUUCAUUAUGCAAUCGGGGAACAUGCUCCAAUCGGAAAUCCUUGAAUUCCUUUAACAGUUGCAUACUUCUCUCGAAAUAAGUUAUGAGAACUUCACUUCGGCAUUCAUAGCUUCCGGCCAAUUGAUUUAUAACCAACAUAGAAUCCCCGAAUAUUUCAACAGCAUCAGCACGAACUUCUCUUAACAACUCCAAUCCCUUGAUCAGAGCUUGAUACUCAGCCUGAUUAUUUGUUGAUGUGGCAACAAUCGGCAAGGAAAACUCAUACUUCCUCCCCUUAGGGGAAACUAAUAUAAUGCUGAUUCCUGCCCCCCGGUCACAGGUAGAUCCAUCAAAGAAGAGCGUCCAGGGUACAAUUUCCAAGGUUUCCACUAGACCGCAAUGCUGAGUCACAAAAUCGGCCAUAAUCUGCCCUUUGACUGCCUUAGCCGAUUCGUAACGCAAAUCGAACUCCGACAGCGCUAAAAUCCAUUUACCGAUCCUACCACUCAUAAUCGGCAUAGAUAGCAUGUACCGGACCACGUCAUCUUUGCAAACAACAGUGCAUUCGGCCGAUAACAGGUAAUGUCUCAGCUUGAUACAUGAAAAAUAUAAGCAUAAGCAUAAUUUCUCAAUGGCCGAAUACCUGGUUUCAGCAUCAAUCAACCACCUACUCAAAUAAUAAAUUACCCUUUCUUUCCCUUCAAAUUCUUGAACUAAAGCUGAACCGAUAACCGAUCCAUCGGUAGAUAAAUACAAUCUGAAGGGCUUCCCUUGUUGAGGUGGAACUAGAACUGGAGGAUUUACUAGAUACUUCUUGAUUUCAUCCAGAGCCAACUGCUGUUCUUCUCCCCAAAUAAACUCUUGAUCGGCUUUCAGUUUAAGAAGAGGACUGAAAGCACGAAUCCUACCAGACAAAUUCGAUAUAAAUCUCCUGAUAAAAUUUACCUUGCCGAUCAAGGAUUGGAGCUCCGUUUUGUUGGUAGGGGCCACUAUUUUAUUGAUGGCAUCAAUAGAUCUUCGACUAAUUUCAAUACCCCUCUCAUGUACCAUGAAACCAAGAAACUGUCCUGCCGAUACACCAAAUGCACACUUGUUGGGAUUCAUCUUCAAUCCAUGCUUCCUUGUGCACUCCAACACUUUUUGUAAAUCGGCAAGAUGCUUUGAGAAAUCUCCAGACUUAACCACCACAUCAUCAAUAUAAAUCUCUACGAGCUUGCCGAUGAACUCAUGAAAUAUAAAAUUCAUAGCCCUUUGAUAAGUAGCACCAGCAUUCUUCAACCCAAAAGUCAUGACUAUCCAUUCAAAUAGCCCAACAUGACCGGGACACCUGAAUGCGGUUUUUGGAAUAUCUUCCUCCGCCAUGAAUAUUUGAUUAUAACCUGCAUUACCAUCCAUGAAGCUGAUGACCUGAUGACCAGCCGCAGCAUCAACCAGUAGAUCGGCGACAGGCAUUGGGUAUCCAUCCAUCGGCGUAGCUUUAUUGAGAUUCCUGAAAUCAAUGCACACCCGAAGCUUCCCGUUCUUCUUGUAAACCGGAACAACAUUGGAAAUCCACUCGGCAUACCGACACUGCCGAAUAAACUUGGCUUCAAUAAGUUUGGUGAUUUCGGCCUUAAUAUCAGGUAGAAUGUUAGGAUUACAUCGGCGGGCUGGUUGCUGAUGUGGCCGAAAUCCAGACUUGAUGGGUAACCGAUGUUCAACAAUUGAUCGGUCUAAACCAGGCAUCUCUGUAUAAUCCCAAGCAAAGCAAUCUUUAUAUUCCUUUAACAAACUAGUCAAUUGUCGCUUACUCUCAGGAUCUAAUUUAGCACUAAUAAAAGUAGGCCUAGGCUUAUCACCACUACCUAUAUCUACUUCUACCAAAUCAUCGGCCGAUGUGAACCCCUGGCCUAAUUUUCCAUCAUCGGCGAAUCUAUCCAUUAAAAACCGUCAUCAGAACCGACUGCUUGGAUCGGUGGAAUCUCAUAAUCGGCAACUUUGAGAAAAUCUUUCUCCCAAACUUCUCCUGAAAUGCACCUGGUCCUUUCGUAAGUAUCCGCUUCUGCCGACGCGAUAACAUAAGAAGAAUCUUCUGGGACAAUCUCAAUCUUGUCACCUACCCACUGAACCAAGCAUUGAUGCAUUGUAGAUGGGAUACAACAAUUGGCAUGAAUCCAAUCUCUUCCCAACAAUAAGUUGUAAGCACCUUUUCCGCUGAUCACGAAAAAAGUUGUCGGCAAGGUUUUGCUGCCGAUGGUCAACUCUGCACAUAUCGCCCCCUUGACUGGAGACACGUUUCCUUCAAAGUCUUUGAGCAUCAUAUCGGUCUUGGUCAAAUUUUGAUCCCCUUUCCCAAGCUUCCGAUAUACUGCAUACGGCAUAAUAUUAAUAGCAGCUCCACCAUCAACUAGGAUCUUGGUCAUUGGCUGCCCAUCAACCCUUCCUUUGAGGAACAGAGCUUUAAGAUGCUGCCUCUCGUCAUCGGCAGGUUUCUCAAAGAUAGCCGUCAUCGGAUCCAGAGCCAACUGAGCUAUCUGAUCAGAAAAUUCCAACUCAUCAUCACUGGCUGGUGCAAGAAACUCCAUCGGCAACAUGAAGACCAUGUUGACGCCUGCCGAUGGACCUUCCCUCUUAGUGUCUGACGGCUGCCGACUUCCAGAGUUCUCUCCCUUGUUUAGCUCUUCUUGCCUUUCACGUUGCAAUCUCCUUUUCUGUGUCUUGGUUAAUCCUCUAGGGCACCAUGGAGGAAGUGGCCUUUGCCUUGCCGUCGGGCGUCGGUUCUCCCUUGACUCCAUACGAUGCGUGUUAGCAUCCCUGCAAAAUAUGAAUUCAUUGGGAACCCGCGCAUCAGCCAUUCCCUCGAGCUCUUCUUGGUUCCUGGGAAAAUACUGGACACGGUCACUAAGUCUGUCAUGCCCGCUAUAUCUGCCCCCCAGCCGGUCAUGAACUGACACCCUUCCUCUGAUCGGCCCAUUAAAUCGCCGUUCAUCAUUAUGAUAAUGCCGAUCGAUCCUAUCGUACCGAUCAUAACCGUUGCACUCAGGGCAGUCUCUGACAGUAGGAAGCUUGAUAUUCUCCUCCCAACAAUGGAUGAAGAAUGGACAAUUCCAAUGAUCCCUGUGCCGAUUCCACUCCUGUCGGCGUCUUUCUUCUUCCCGUCGGUAAUCUUCCUGCUGGCGCCGAUACCGAUCUUCCCGUUGUUGCCAUUUUUCUCGAGGCCUUCUAUGAGUUAUGACGAUACCAGAUCGAGGAAGCCUUCCUGAGCUAGUUCCUUCCUGGACCAAGCCCUUACUUCUUGCAUCGGCAGUAGUAACUUGAUGCUGAGGAUCUACCGAUGCACUCUUCUCAGCUGUCUCCGAUGUUAAGACCUUAGCCUUCCCCUUAGCAUCCAACAUGUUUGUCGGGAAAGGAUGUUGGUCUAUCUUCAUCGGCUUCUGGGCUUUGGAACUGUCAAACUUGAUUCUCCCUGACUCUAUAGCCGAUUGCAGCUGCUGUCUGAAUACUUUGCACUCGUUGGUGUCAUGGGAAGUUGCAUUAUGCCACUUGCAAUAUCUCAUCCUCUUCAACUCUUCUGCCGAUGGGAUCACAUGGUUAGGUGACAGUUUGAUCUGACCUUCCUGAAGUAGAAAGUCAAAUAUCCUAUCAGCCUUAGCGGUGUCAAAAGCAAACUUCUCUGGUUCCUUCUGCCCAAAAGGACAAGACAUCGGCUUCUUGUUUUUUACCCACUUUGCCAAACCGAUUACUGGUUCUUCAUCAGAAUCUGAGCUUGUUGCUUCAUCGACAAAUGACACUUUCUUAUUCCAUGCUCUCUUAGGCUCAAAGGGCUUGAUGUCUUGAUCAGAAAUCCUCUGCACCAAAUGACUUAAACUUUCGAACUCCUGAGAGGCAUACUUAUCCCUGACAUGUGGCAACAAACCCUGGAAAGCCAAAUCGGCUAGCUGCCGAUCAUCCAGAACCAGGCUAUAGCAUUUAUUCUUGACCUCUUGUAUCCUCUGCACAAAUCCCUCAACCGACUCAUCAUUACGUUGUCUCAACUUGACUAAGUCGGUGAUCUUCUUCUCAUGAACCCCCGAGAAGAAGUAUUUGUGGAAUUGCUUCUCUAGAUCGGCCCAAGUAAUUACUGAGUUGGGAGGUAACGAUAUGAACCAAGUAAAGGCCGAUCCAGACAAUGAUGAUGAAUAUAGACGAACCCUCAAUUCGUCCCUGUUACCAGCCUCUCCACAUUGAAUAAUGAACCUGUUGACAUGCUCCAUGGUUGACGUGUCGUCCUGUCCGGAAAACUUUGUAAAAUCCGGUACCUUGUACCGAUGUGGAAGCGGGAUCAAAUCAUACGCGGGAGGAUACGGUGUCCGAUAAGAGUAAGUGUUGACUUUGGGUUUUAUCCCAAAUUGUUCCCUCAUUACUUCAGCAAUCUUAUCGGCCCAAUAUGCAUCGGCAUCUUGCCGAUGAGGCGGCUGCGGAUCUGGUACUUGGUGGCGAACCUCCACGUGUCUGUUGGGGACGUGAUCUGCGCGGAACAUUGUAUUGAUCACCUGUCCUCCAAUCUGCGGACCACCAAACUGCUGUCCACCGAUUGGCUGUCCUCCGAGUUGCUGUCCAAAAUUCAUUGGCUGGUUGGGAAUCCCCUGACCUUGGAACCCGGGAUAGACCUGCCCUUGCAGGAACCCUGUAGUCUGGUAACUCUGCUGGGGCGAUUGUGGAAAGGCUUGCUGUCCAAGCCAUCCAUUAUUGGCGUUCAUCGGCAUAGGUGCUGCCGAUGAUUCGUAAUUGGGUACCGUCGUUGAAUUGACAUACCCCGACUGGGCCAUAGGCCUCUGUUGCAUCAGCAUUGACUCUGCCGAUGCGUUGGGCAUCUGGAACAUUGAAUCUUGCGGAUUUCCAGUGUGAGGCCUUGCAGUAGUAGUUGUGGUAUACCGAGGACUCUGGUUCACCGGCGCAUUGGGAGGUGCCGAUGUCAUAGGAGUUUUGCCCCUCAUGUCAGUUAUUUGUGAUGUUCCCGGCGUCAACUCUGGAGGCAUACCGUAACCCCACCAGUUGGGAGGAAGAGUCAACCCUGACAUUGCGGAUGCCAACAUAUCUGUUGUCAGUUUAUGCUGCCCAACUGAAAUUUGUGGGUUGGUUGCCAUCGGCAUAGAUAGUGCACCAGUAGUCCCCGAUGUACUUGGAGGGACGGCAGAUUGUGCACUUGCAUUCGUCAAGGCAGCCGAUGGAGCCGUGACCUCUGGUGCUGUUGGCUGAUGAUGGGAGGGGCCCACAUAAUCUGGUGGGAUUUGUCCUUCCUUGAAAGUUCUUGCCACGGCAUUGAAAACCGUAUUAGACAGUACACCAGCUUGGUUAAUCAACGCUCGAUUGAUGGCAUUGUCAACCAUAUCUUGAAGCUUGCCAGGAUUGGCGUCAAAGGUGACCUGCCGUGGUGCCGGCAGUGCAUCUUUCUGGACCACUUCGCCGCUCCUGUUUAUGCUGAAAGACCUCAGGCAUUGCUGCUUGAACUCUUCCAUGGCUUGGGCAAUAGCUUGCUUCUGCUCAUCCUUGAGGUUGGCCUCCGUCACGGGGAUGACGUUAUCUUGAUCGAGGUCAGAGAUCGACAUGUUGAUCUUGAUCUUGAAUCUUGUCCCACCGGGCGUGCCAAAAGAUGUGUUGAUGCAAAACUGGUCUGCAAACACAAAGGGCUAAUACCCGAUUCAAACGUUAAGGCGUGCCAGCCGAUUUGACCUUGCUAUCGGCAAAGGUGAUAACUCGAAUACUUUAGUCCUGACAACAGCGAUGCGCCCGGAUGUCACGGCUAAGAGGUACUCACGCGGAACUUGAGAACACGCCGAGCUUAAGUCGACGAAUUCCUAAGAACUCGUAACAAAAGGAAAAAGUAUGACGAAGUCGUCGAAAAGUAAAUGCUGGAAUAUGAGUAAAAACGUGUGUUUGAUUUCUUGAUUGAUUUUUACAAGGCCCUAGGGUCUAUAUUUAUACCCUGCUCAAAGAGCUACAACCAGACACGAUUAGAAUUCGAAUUCCAAAUUACACGUAAUCCGUAUACAAAACGAUGCAAAUAAUUAAGGAAAUAACAAAACUAUCCCUCGUGACAAACCGAAACUCCUCCAUAUAACGACCGGCAGCUUCCAGACUCCUCCUUUGCAUCAUCGGCAGAUCCUUUGCCAUAGUCAUCGGCAUACUUUCUUAUCUAGCCAUCGGCACCAUAUUACUGCCUGUGGACUUAGUCACAUUCAACUUCUCCCUCAUCGGCAACCAUCCUCAUCGGCAACCCGCUUUGUAAACAUCGUACUGCCACCUUAUCCUGCCAUCCUAGACACGUGCCCAAAAACGGUGUCAACAGUUCCCAUGCUUUGGGGUUUGUCUCAUUAGCUUGUUGUUGGAAGCUGGAGAUCUUUCCACAAAGGGCGCUGGUUUUGCCCAUCGGGAAGAACUUCUUGAGAAAUGCAUUGGCGCACUUCUCCCAUGUGGUGACCUCACUUUUGUUGGUAUAGAACCAUUGCUUCACCUUUAUCAAUAGCAAGAAUGGGAAAAUGCUGAGAUGGAUGGCGUCUGCAGAAACAUUCUUGAUAGUGAAGGUACCACACAACUCCAGGAAGUGUUGGAGUUGGGCGCUGACGUCCUCAUGUGGCUUCCCAGAGAAAGGGUUGACUUGCACCAUGUUGAUGAGUGUUGGCUUAAACUCAAAAGUUGCAUCACCCAAGUUAAGCUGUGGACCCAGGGCAACAUAGUCAGCUGACGAUGUAGAGUACUCAGAGAUGGUCUUUUGGGCCAUAACCUCCUUGAAAAUUGGUGCAGAACCUCCUUCCUCGAAUAGAUUUAGGUUCGAGAUGAACCUUUGAGGUUGAGCUUGAUGGCGUCUAACUAUCCUCAACAACUGCUCAGGAUCUUCAACAAAAUUUGAUGGCAGUUGGAAACCACUCAUUCACCUUCUAGUUCCACGAUAACAAGAAACAAGAUAGGUGCGGGGUAAGCCCCUACACUAAUUGAUAACUAGACCGAUAGUAGACUCUGGAUUCACUUUUAUUAAAAUUCCUAGGCUGACGCUUUCCCCGGCAAUGGCGCUAGAAAUGCUUGCUGGCAAAUCUUAGCAUCGUCACUAGAUGUUAGCAACGAUGCAAGAAAUGCCAGGUGGGUACUUCUUGUGUCUAUUGGAUUGUUCCGCAAGCACACAGAAUAUACCGAUGUAGCACUUCACUGAGGAUGAGUAUUCCAAGGUAUCUUUAUUUAUUUUAUCCCAAGAGAAAGCAAUGCUAGGAAUAUUUAAAAAGAGAAGAGAUAUCCUUAUGUCUACUAUGAUCUACUAUCGACUAGUGAAGAAGGAGGGUAAGUGAUUGAUAGGAAGGGUAGAUAAGUAAGGUAGCAAAGAAUCUAAGCUAAAGAUAACUGGUAGAGUGUUAGCUAGGUGGGAGGACAACGAGUGAGUAAAGGACUCCUAUGUAUCCUACUUUACUUCUUUGUACUUGAUCCUAAUAGAUAGCUGACUCAACUAGACUAAUGCCAUACUCCUUGUGUGAGGGGGAUAGCCAAGAAAAUAGGAGAUAGAACCCCUGCUAAAGCAACUAUACUCUUAUGGACGCCUAGCAUUUUAAGAACUAGUUUGUACGUGAGGAGAUCCUAAUGCCGAGCACGACCUGUCACGUCCUACCAGUGCGCUCCUACCGUCCGUCCAAACCAACGACUAUCAAAGGUGAUCCUUAGUCUAAGCACCGCACUUACACUAACUCUCACGACUCUAACUACGGCGCAGAUAGCUCAAGCUCCUAUGCAAGAUAGGACGAUGAAACACACACAAGGAGUUGGUUAUAGGAAACCAAUCAACCUAAGUCAACUAAUAUUACUAAGACAAGCACACAACAAGGCUAUAGUAACUAUAGACUUGUACUAAGUAAAUACUUAAGUAAAUACUAAGUAAAGUAAAGGAAGAAUAAUAUAUUGAUAAAAGUAAACUCUUACAAAAGAGGAAAGGUAUAAGAGCUAUACCAGACUCUCUAGAAGACGACUCCAGAGACCCUGAGCUUCGCUCGACUCGACUCUAACUCCCACUCUAGACUAACUACUACUACACUACUUGAUCCUUGAAGGAUUGAGAGACUUAAUGCUCUUCUAGGGAUGCCUCUCAAGGGUGGAGGCAGCCUCUAUUUAUAGAGGAGGGAGAGGGGGUGCCACAUCAGUGAUCCGUCUGCUUCAUGCCUCUCCACCCUUAAAUGAACCGACUUAGUAACCGCCAUAGAUGGAGGGCCAUGGUAAUUUGGACAUGUGGAAGUUGUGCUUGAGUCAGUGGGGAGCCAACCGACUUGGUUAGGCACCAGGAGGGGGUCGCCUGACCCCUCUAUGGUAGGUGGGCCCAGCCAGGGUCUUCUAGAAGGUGACCCUAGUUAUCAUGUGAAGUGGCUCCACCAUUUGUGAAAGAUUUGUCAUGUUGCUUGCUUACUUGUGGGCCCAUGGAUCUAUGUGCAAUGAUCUUUCACCACUAGAAGUUGAUCUGAGGGUGGAAAUGGACUCCAGGGGUCUCCACAUGGAUUGUACUUCAUAGCACACCUCUUGGUGGGACCAUAAUGGGGUCGCCCGACCCCCUCAUUAGGUCCUUCUAUGGUGCAUUUUCUUGUUUCCAGUAAUCAAAGGCUAAGAGUACAAGUGGAACCAGUUAUGGAUAAAAUAUGUUCAUGUUUUGCUAUUCUUCUGUGAGAUCGAGGCAUGUUGACGGUGUUUUGAGUGUGAAUUUCUAUGGUACAUCCACCGUCAACAUGAUCCCCCAAGCUUAACCUUUACUCGUCCCAAGCAAACAAUCAAACUUAGCCUCGAUGGAUCAACUAUUGUUACUAUGCUCACAUUUCAAGAGUACCAUGUGUACAACAAAGUUCUUCUCUUUGAAUGAAAUAUUAGCUUAAAAACUCACCCAUAUUACCUUAGUCCUCUAUGGGGCUUAUGGCUUUUCCUUUGUCUUAGGCGGUUGAAAGAUAGAACGGUUUGACUUGAGCACUCAUUUUCUUAUUCAUAGCAAGUUUCAUACCGGAGGUUUUGUAAUAUUUUUUUUCAAAUGAAAACUUAAUGUUCCUCAUAUGGUUCUCUCAAGUCACUCGAAUGGUGUAUGAUUCCUCACCUAGGCAUAUGAUAAGAAUUACCUUCCUUAGUUCUUCCUACUUCUAAAAAGCAUAUGUGGAGUUCAAGGUAGGGAUAAAGAAAGAUAGAAUACUCACUUUGCAUUUAUUGGGAAGUCAAAGCUUGGAUCCAAGAAGAGAAGUGUCAUACCCCUAGAUCAAGAUGUGCAAGUGUGUGGUAUAUAAUGAGCUAGGUUGCUCCUUUAUUUGAUAAGAUAUCUCUCUCUAUUUUUUUUUCUAUUAAGACAUGGCUAGCUCUUUUUUUCUUUUCUUCUUUUUUCAUGGACCUUCAUGUGCCCAUAUGUAUAUAUAUGUUGCAUAGCCCUUUUGGUGUCUCAUCUAUUACGCCAUAUUUGGAGAGGUAUUCUAAUACUUAAAGCAAGGAGCAAGUUAUUUGGUGGAAAUGGAAGACAUAUUUUUGCGUACUUCUAGUGUAGAAGCAGCAUGUAUAUAUGUGGUGUGUGUGUGAUCUUGAUCUUGGGAGCAUGAUAAGUCUCUUAAACAAGGGUCAACAAGACUUGACAACACUCAACACAAAUCAAAUAGCUUAUGUGGAAGGUUUAUAAACAUGUAGAGCAUAUAUGGCCGUGGUAGGAAUUUAUCAUCAGUGAGGAACAAUUAAGGUUUUGAUCAUUUUAAGAAUAAAUUCUCAGGUAUUGCAACAUGCUUAGAACAAUACUAUAGCAGCUCUAAUCUCACUAUCUCAUAUCCCUCAACAACUUAGACUUAGUUUUAGCACUUGCAACCCACAAAGUUUUUGGGUUCAUGAUGGUUUAAGUGAGCUAAGUAAUACAUACUUGGAGAAAUGCUAGGCUGUAAACUAGGUACUAAGGAAAUAUUGACAGAGUAACUAUUCAUCAUUUCCAUAAGGAAGAUAAACAUACAUGAAGCAUAUGUGUUAAGCGAGAUAAGCAAAUAUUUUUUUGAUAUUUUCUUUUUUUGAAUGCACUAAGAUGAAUAACUAGAAUGCAAAAUGCUAAGAUAGAAUACUUACCUUAGUGGGGGAGAGGAUCUCCCCCAAGCUUGGCUUUUGCUCACUGUGGCGGCGGAUAAUGUUAGAACCAUCCGGCCCAUCAUUGUGCUUCCUUAGCUUGUAUUGCUUGUAGAAGUUGGGCAUUUUGUUGUGCCAGCUGCAGCAUUGCUUCUUAUUCAAUGUGCAUUGCACCCGUGUUGUUGAUGAGGUCGUCCAUCUCUAUCCUUGUUGGGUAUUUUAAACGCAAACAGAAAAAUCCGCAAGCGCACGGAUACCGAUGUAACUUUCACCCGGGAGUAUUCCAGAGUAUCGAUUUUCCACAGGGAACGUGAGUGUACUAAUUAAGAUCCAAGAUCGCCCAAGGAUAACUAUAUACUUAUUUUUGGUGGGAAGAGAGGAAGUUUCCUGAGAGUUCUCUAGUUGAUCUAAGAAUCAAGAUUUAUUUCAAGAUUAUCUAUAUCGGGACAUCAGAGCACUAACCACAGAAAGAGAUGAGAAGGGGGCUAGGAAGGUCUGACUACGGUCCUACAAACACCGAUCCGAACGAGGUGGAAUACGUCGACCGUUAGGGCUGUCACUACCCUAAGGCUACCACAACAAUCCGCAGGAUUGGGUGCAAUUCCAGGUAAUUGCAAGACUAAACACCACGUCUAAUCUAUUAAUUACUACUCUAAUGUUGCAAAGAUUAGAGCACUUGAUGCAAGCGGGAAUCCAAUAAACAACUUGAAUGUAAAUAAAAGUAAUUAAAGAACUCAGGAUUAUGAAUUGAAGAACCUGGAGAACGAUGAAGAACGAACCAGUUGCUGCAAAAGUACAAUGUUGAGGAAGAUCCGACAGAUCCGGCUCCUCCUCCUCCGCUCUCCUCUUCUCUCUCCCUAUUUUCUAGAUUACAACUAGAACUAACUAGAACUAGAACUAGAGGAACUAGAACUAGAACUAGAACUAGAUGAACUAGAACUAGAUCUAGAUGAACUAGAGGUAGAACUAGAAGAACUAGAGGGAUCCUCUCUACUUGGAUGAAGACUUGAAACCCUAACUUUGAUUCUGUAGAAGAGGUAUGAUCUCCAGGGGCCAGGGGGGUCUGGUUUUAUAGUCCCUUCAAGUGAAUCUGGGCUGUCGGAUCAAACCGACAUUGAUCGCAUGGUUUUCCUUGAUCCUUUAGGUCUGUGGAGCAUAAUCCGCGAAAUGUGUCCUGAUUGGGCACUGUAGCUGGGCGGGCGCCCAGGAGAGUUGGGCGGGCGCCCUGCCUCCGAGCCCGAUUUCCUUCCCAUUCGUUCCCGUGGCUUCUGGAGUCUUCUAGAUGAUAGAAAAUUGCGCGACACAUUAAUAUCUCUAUGUAAACCCGACGUGUGGGCCUUUCUUUCAUAUUUCCUGAUAACCCCCUGCAGAAAUAGACAAACACCAAAACUCGUGGAAUUCUGUCAGAUAAAACCCUAAGUCUAGGUGUUGGUUGCAUUUGGAUCCUUUUCCAUGAUUAGUUGAUGGUUAAAUGUGAGCAUUAAGGACCGUCAACAAGCUCCCCCAAGCUUAACCUUUGCUCGUCCCUGAGCAAAGCUAAAAUCAGUAAGAAAAUAGGGGUUACUAUUAUGCCUCUUACUACAGGGUUUUUAAGGUCUUAAGUGAUUGAAAAACAGAACGAUCAAGUCAAGCACUAUGUCUCAAGUUCUUCUGUCUUAGCUUUGUUCUGGAGUUUUUUUUUUAUGAGUCUGCAAAAUAAAACCGAGGCAUUUGCCUUCUUCUCGAAAGAUAUAUAUAAGUAGAGCUUUAAAAGUUUUAGCAUACUUACUUUGCAUUUUGCUAUGUCAAUGCUCGGAGCAAGGGAGAGGAAUGUCAUACUCCUAGAUCAAGACCUUUGACCUUUUUGAGAAGUUUGUCAUCUCUUACUGGCAUAUUGCUUAUUAGAGGGACCAUGGGCUAUCAUUUUUUUUUCUCUUUUUUUUCAGUCUCUUUUUUUUGAGUGGGCAGCAAGUACCCCUAAUUCUACUGUCGGACACAUGUCCAUUUUUUCCACUCAGGUGGGUAUCUUUGUACCCUUAAUUCUACUUCGGACACUUGUCCAUUUUUAUCUCUCAUCUCACUCUUUCUUUUUUUUCGAAACAAAUUUUUGCAUAGUCCCAUGCCUCUAACGCAAUAAUACUUCGGAAGAGUGAAUCUUUUAUAUUUUUAAAACAAAAAGAUCUUGAUCUUGGGAGCAUGAUAAUUCUCUCAACCAAAACUACAAGAAUUAACAAUGGCUUGAACAAAGCAAGUGCCCACAGUUUUAAUAUUUAUAUCUUAUAAGACUCUAGGUAUUAUGAUCUCAUAUAUUUUUUUUAUGAAUUUUUAGAUUUUCAAAAGAUAAAAUCUCCAGAACUCUAGCAAAACAUGGAACAAGUUAAAUAGUAGCUCAGACCUUCUCAUAUCAUGUUUGUCAAUUACCUAGACUUGAAUCAAACUCUUUUUUUUAUUUAAAACUUAGAAUUACACAAAACUAUUGUAUAUUACUCAAAAGAAAAACUUUGUUUGGUUUCAUGGUUAUGCAUUUUUUUAUUUCCGAAUACUAGUAAAUAAAACCAAGAAAGAAAAGUAAUACUUAUCUAGAUACACGUGGGGGUGCCUCCCCCAAGCUGGAUGUUGACAUAGUCGUUCACUCUUGUGGCCUGCAUGUUCGGUCUCACUCUUCUUAAGCUUCAAAAUCCUGCACAACCCAAAUAGACAACAAAACUCGUGGAACAUGUUAAGGGUUAGGUAAUUGUCUAGAGCUUAUGAGAGCUUAAUAUGAGAAUUCUAUGAACUCAAUCACAUCAAGUUCCUCUACCAGGUUGUUUUGUGGCUCGAGAUAGAUUUUCAAGCGUUGACCAUUUACCUUAAAAGUGUUACCUAUGUCAUCUUGGAUGGUAAUGGCUCCAUGAGUUGAAGUGUCAAUAACCUUGUAUGGUCCAUCCCACUUACUUCGUAGCUUACCAUGCCCAAAGAGCUUAACUCUUGAAUUGAAUAGUAGAACCUUAUCUCCAGACUUAAACUCCUUGUGCUUGAUUCUCUUAUCAUGCCAUCGUUUUGUUCUCUCUUUAUAAAUCCUUGAAUUGUGGUAGGCUUUCUCUCUCCAUUCUUCUAGCUCAGAUAGUUGCAUCAGACGAUUCUCACUAGCGAGGUGGAGAUCCAUGUUCCAUUUCUUAAGUGCCCAAUGAGCCUUAAACUCUACUUCCACAGGCAAGUGACAAGUUUUUCCAUAUACAAGUUGAUAAGGUGACAUGCCUAUGGGUGUUUUGAAUGCAGUUCUAUAUGCCCAAAGUGCAUCAGGAAGUUUGUCCUUCCACCCCUUACCCAUCUCAUCUACGGUCUUUUGUAAAAUAUUUUUGAUUUGUUUGUUAGAUGUUUCGGCUUGACCGCUAGUCUGAGGAUGGUAUGGUGUUGCGACGUUGUGUCGAACUCCAUGAUCGGCUAGGUACUUCCGGAAGAUUUUGUCGAUGAAGUGAGAACCUCCAUCGCUUAUAACUAUCCGGGGUAUACCAAAGCGAGGAAAGAUUACUUCAUGGAACAUUCUCUUGGCAUGUUUUGAAUCAGCUGAUCGACAAGGUAGGGCUUCUACCCAUUUGGACACGUAGUCCACAGCUACUAAGAUAUACUCGCAAUUCCCGGACAUAGGGAAUGGCCCCAUGAAAUCAAUGCCCCAAACAUCGAAAAGUUCUACUUGAAGAUUAUUUGUGAGAGGCAUUUCAUUUCGUGAGUUAAUAUUCCCAUGUUUUUGACACCGGUGGCAUCUCCUGACAAAGUCCUUUGUAUCUUCAUACAUCGUUGGCCAGAAAAAACCACUUUGCCAAAUUUUAGCAUGUGUCCGAAAUGCUCCAUAGUGUCCUCCAUAUGGCGAGGCAUGGCAUCUUUCCAUAAUUUGAGUAGCCUCAACCAUAGGAACACACCUUCUCAAGAGUCCAUCAGCGCAGACUCAGAAAAGAUAUGGCUCAUCCCAAAGGUGGAAACGACUAUCGUGAAGCAACUUCCUUUUGUUUGCACCAGGUGGGACAUAGCCUUUUACUAUAAAGUUUACGAUGUCUGCGUACCAUGGAUCUGCAUGUGUUAUCUUAAGCAGGGUGUCAUCCCUUAGGUAGUCAUUUAUGGGAAGCUCAUCAUGUGUUUCCUUAUAUUGAAGCCUAGAUAAGUGGUCGGCUACGGAAUUCUCAACUCCCUUCCUAUCUCGGAUUUCUAUGUCAAAGUCUUGGAGUAGAAGAAUCCACCGAAUUAGACGAGGCUUACCAUCUUUCUUAGUGAGGAGGUACUUGAGAGCAGCAUGGUCUGAAUAGAUGAUUAUCUUCGCCCCCACUAAGUAAGAUCUAAACUUGUCUAUAGCAAAGACAACAGCCAAAAGCUCUUUUUUAGUUGUAGUGUAAUUGAGCUGUGGUCCAGACAAGGUUUUGCUAGCGUAGGAUAUGGCAUAAUGCUUUUUAUCCUUGGUUUGUCCUAAAACGGCCCCGACCGCAAAAUCGCUAGCAUCACACAUGAUCUCAAAAGGAAGAUUCCAAUCAGGUGGUUGGAUAAUCGGGGCUGAGAUGAGUGCUUUCUUAAGAGUUUGAAAAGAUUCAUGACACUCAUCACUAAAGAUGAAAGGUGCAUCCUUAACUAGGAGAUUAGUUAAGGGUCUAGCAAUUUGAGAGAAAUUCUUGAUAAAGCGUCUAUAGAACCCUGCAUGUCCCAAAAAGCUACGGAUUCCUUUCACAUUCGUGGGAGGUGGAAGUUUUUCAAUAACUUCAAUCUUUGCUUUGUCCACCUCUAUACCACGUUCGGACACUUUAUGUCCUAGCACUAUUCCUUCCUGAACCAUAAAAUGGCAUUUCUCCCAGUUCAGGAUUAAGUGCUUUUCUUCACAUCGCUGCAAGACUCUAUCUAAAUUCUCCAAACAAUGAUCGAAGGUUUUGCCAUAGACAGUAAAAUCAUCCAUGAAAACCUCCAUGAUCUUCUCAAUCAUGUCCGAGAAAAUAGACAUCAUGCACCGUUGGAAAGAAGCUGGAGCAUUGCACAAUCCGAACGACAUUCGUCGGUAUGCAUAAGUUUCAUAUGGGCAUGUAAAGGUAGUCUUUUCUUGGUCAUCUGGGUGGAUUGGGAUUUGGUGGUAUCCAGAAUAACCAUCAAGGAAACAAAAGAAACAGUGGUUUGCAAGCCGUUCCAACAUUUCAUCAAUGAAGGGUAACGGAAAGUGAUCUUUCUUUGUAGCCUUAUUGAGUUUUCGAUAGUCAAUACACAUACGCCACCCAGUGACAAUUCGUUGAGGGAUGAGUUCAUUCUUCUCAUUCCUAACGACCGUCAUUCCUCCUUUCUUUGGCACUACUUGGACAGGGCUAACCCACUCACUAUGUGGCACAGGAUAAAUAAUCCCAGCACGAUAGAGUUUGAGGACCUCUUUCUUAACAACCUCUCGCAUAGCAUUGUUAAGUCUCCGUUGUGGUUCCCUUGAAGGUGUAGAAUUGGGAUCAAUAGGGAUACGAUGAGUGCAGAGAAUGGGACUAAUGCCCGUGAGAUCCUCGAGAGAGUAGCCAAAAGCUGAUCUAUGUCUUUCAAGAACAGUGACAAGUUGUUGUGUUUCAUAAUCGGAAAGCUUGUCACUGAUAAUUACUGGAGUUUUUGAGUUGUUGUGCAAGAAGACAUAUCUAAGGCCAUAAGGAAGAGGUUUUAAUUCUUUCGAAGGAGGUGAAGGUAGUUCAUUUUUGUCUAGCUCAACGGGUUCUACCAACUCUUCUUCUUCUUGAACAAAGUGUUAGUGAUUAAAGAAUGGUUGGGUCAUCUCCUCUUGAGUCACCAUUAAGACCUCCUCAAUAGGAUCUGGGUCAAGUUUGGGUUCCACUAUCGUGUUAAUUGAUCUAGCAAGAGGAACAACAAUAGUGGAAUUCCCAACCUUGAAGUCUAAAUGACCUCGUUGUGGUUGUUCCUGUAGAAGUUUCAUGAUUGGUCUGCCAAUCAAGAGAGGAAUCUCUGGUAUGUCAAAAAUGUGAAAGUCUAGACAUAUUCCAGAGUCCUUGAUUCUAACAGAAACUGCCCUUAAUACCCCAUGGCUUUCUAGAAUUAACCUAGAUGGACUUUGUAAAAGUUUUUGAGAUGGGGUUAUGGACUCGUUGGGAUGAAGAGUGUCAGCUAACUCCUUGGAAAUAACAUUUAUCCCAACAUAUGGAUUGUAGUGGACCUUCCUAGCGGACCUUCUAAUUUGGCAUAGAAGAAUGGUUGAAGGAGUGAUGAUCCGAGCUACCUCAGGAGACAGCUUUGCUUCUGUUAGCCAUUCAUAACUCAGAAUAGCUGAAAGGCUUUUGAUGUGUUCUAUGUCAACAGAUUCUACUCUUAGAACAGAUUGAGUGGUCCUUGCUAGAGGUCGUGUUUGGAUAGGAAAAUUCGAGGUGUUUCCAUAAUCUUCAAAAAGAUCUUCCUCGAAUUCAAAGGGAUGCUCUAAAGGUGGUGGUUCAUCAUCCUUUAGUUGGUUUUGCAUUCCCUUAUCAGGAGGUUUCUCUACAACCAAAAUAAUAGGUGGGUCAGGUGGAAUUUCUAACUCGGUUGCAAGUUCCUCUUCUUUUGGUUUAGGAUUAGGCUCGACUUCUUUUUCUUCUUCAGGAAACUCAUCAUAAAUGCCUGUGUAAGGGGUAUUUUCAAGAAUUCUUUCUAGGAUAGCUCUCCCCUCAUCUGUGAGUUUGUGUUUGAAUGAGCCUCCUGAAGCAAUGUCGAGGUGAAGAGCAGCCUCCUUGUUUAGACCACGAUAAAAGUGGUAGUACAGUACAUGGUCAGGCAGGGAAAGGUUUGGACCGGAAUUGGUAAGGCUUGUGAACCUAGCCCAAGCUGCUCCUAAAGUUUCCUUCUCUCUUUGUUUGAAUGUAAGAAUUUCUAUUCUAAGGUCAGCAAUUCGAAAAAGUGGGAAGAAAGCGAGACAAAAGUUGCCCCGAAGUUCAUCCCAACUUCCAUUAACGCCUCCUACAGAAUGAGCAUACCACUUUUUUUGCUCUUCCUAAAAGGAAGAACGGAAAUAAUUUCCAUUUAAGGGUGCCUUGUGUCAUGCCGGAAAUAGAUCGGCAAGAGCACAACUGCUCGAAUUCUCUAAGGUGGGUGUAUGGAUCUUCAUCUACUUGCCCAGAGAAGGGUUGCUCCUGAAUCAUGGCUAUUAGAUCAGGGCCGAGGUCGUAGCCAUCUGUAAGAAUUGGAUGUGAUGAUGGUGGUGGCUCCAAUAACUCACCCUUUGGAGCAAAGAAUUUAUAGGUAGGAGUGAAAUCCAUGUGGUAUGGUGAAAAUGGUAAGGUGAGUGUGGUAAAAGGGAAAAGAAAAAGGAUACAUGGACGACUUGGUUCGAAACUAGCACAGCUACCGUUCUCCGGCAACGGCGCCAGAAAUCUUGUUGGGUAUUUUAAACGCAAACAGAAAAAUCCGCAAGCGCACGGAUACCGAUGUAGCUUUCACCCGGGAGUAUUCCAGAGUAUCGAUUUUCCACAGGGAACGUGAGUGUACUAAUUAAGAUCCAAGAUCGCCCAAGGAUAACUAUAUACUUAUUUUUGGUGGGAAGAGAGGAAGUUUCCUGAGAGUUCUCUAGUUGAUCUAAGAAUCAAGAUUUAAUUCAAGAUUAUCUAUAUCGGGACAUCAGAGCACUAACCACAGAAAGAGAUGAGAAGGGGGCUAGGAAGGUCUGACUACGGUCCUACAAACACCGAUCCGAACGAGGUGGAAUACGUCGACCGUUAGGGCUGUCACUACCCUAAGGCUACCACAACAAUCCGCAGGAUUGGGUACAAUUCCAGGUAAUUGCAAGACUAAACACCACGUCUAAUCUAUUAAUUACUACUCUAAUGUUGCAAAGAUUAGAGCACUUGAUGCAAGCGGGAAUCCAAUAAACAACUUGAAUGUAAAUAAAAGUAAUUAAAGAACUCAGGAUUAUGAAUUGAAGAACCUGGAGAACGAUGAAGAACGAACCAGUUGCUGCAAAAGUACAAUGUUGAGGAAGAUCCAACAGAUCCGGCUCCUCCUCCUCCGCUCUCCUCUUCUCUCUCCCUAUUUUCUAGAUUACAACUAGAACUAACUAGAACUAGAACUAGAUGAACUAGAACUAGAUCUAGAUGAACUAGAGGUAGAACUAGAAGAACUAGAGGGAUCCUCUCUACUUGGAUGAAGACUUGAAACCCUAACUUUGAUUCUGUAGAAGAGGUAUGAUCUCCAGGGGCCAGGGGGGUCUGGUUUUAUAGUCCCUUCAAGUGAAUCUGGGCCGUCGGAUCAAACCGACAUUGAUCGCAUGGUUUUCCUUGAUCCUUUAGGUCGGUGGAGCAUAAUCCGCGAAAUGUGUCCUGAUUGGGCACUGUAGCUGGGCGGGCGCCCAGGAGAGUUGGGCGGGUGCCCUGCCUCCGAGCCCGAUUUCCUUCCCAUUCGUUCCCGUGGCUUCUGGAGUCUUCUAGAUGAUAGAAAAUUGUGCGACACGUUAAUAUCUCUAUGUAAACCCGACGUGUGGGCCUUUCUUUCAUAUUUCCUGAUAACCCCCUGCAGAAAUAGACAAACACCAAAACUCGUGGAAUUCUGUCAGAUAAAACCCUAAGUCUAGGUGUUGGUUGCAUUUGGAUCCUUUUUCAUGAUUAGUUGAUGGUCAAAUGUGAGCAUUAAGGACCGUCAACAGUCCUUUGGUGGCACCUUUCCCUGCCCCGUGGGUGAGGAGUGCGUUGUGGACGUGGAGGCCUUUCCAUGGACCCUCAUAUGUCCAUAGAGCUUGCCUCAUCGCCUUCUUCAACUUCAUCUCCUGCAGGAUUUGAGGGAGCACAUUGCUCCAUUUAAGCAGCUCGUGACAUUCCUCUUGUCAUUUGGCGUGGUCCUACAAUAUUUUGGCUACGUGACUCUUUGUCUAAUUUAAUGGUUAGCGUACGAAGCGCAUACAGUUGACAUUUCUCACAAGGGAGAGGAACUUCAACUGUAUAGCCCGAAUAAACCAUUUUAAGUCCAAACCUUGGACCUCUUUUGAGCACAUUAAUAUUAAUGAAGACAUCCUCAUUUAAAACAUCUCUAGCAGAGGUGAUGUACUCAAAGGUAUGUGGCUCUAGUGCAUCCGUUGAUUCGGCUAUACGAGUAAUGAAUGAUGUAAAGUAAACGGGUUUUCCAUACUCAAUGGAGUUGAGCCAAUAGUCCACUAGCAGUUUAACAGGUGAGACCUUAAUUUUGCAUACCAUUGCAUAGAGAAGUUUAAGUUCUUCAUCACUUAAGAUGUUACCUCUAGUUCUAAGAAAAAGAGUCAUACACAUCCACUAAUGAAGAAAACACAGGGUCAGGUUAUGGAUUUGGUGGGGUGUAAGAUUAGAGCAAUCGUUGGAACCAGAUAUUGCUUUCCAAAAGUCAUUUUUCUAAACCCGAUAGUGGCAUGGUCUAGAUCAAGUUCACAAUUGUGCUCACAUCCUAGGGUAGUGUUCAAGAUGCUCCAAGUUAAAUGACAUUUUUCCCUAAACAUGUGAAAGGCUACGCCAUUGAAUGUUAAUUGUAAAGUACACAAAAAAUCUUGGGUGAUCACUUCUAUGCCAAGUUCAGGAACCAUCCAAAAUCCUCCCCAACCAAUUGUGUUAAAAACAGCAUUAAACUCUGCACUCAUACCUGUGUGGUCCAAGAGAACCGGAUCGAUGAUGCUUGUGCAGCGGAAACUGCUUGAUCGUAGGGUGUUGUAUUUCUGCAGCUCUUCUUGGGUUAGCAUGAGGCCGCUCCCGGGCUCUCUUACUCUUGGUGGAGGCUCAUAGAGUACCACUUGGUGGUGACUCUCUUCCUCAUCCCUCCUCUCAUGGGUUCCUUUGGUGUGGUGAGAGUUAUGGGAAGAGCUCUCACCCUUCUUGGACUUCUUAAACCGGGAGGUGAGUAACUUCUUCAUCUUGCUACACAAGUGAGACAAACCAAGCUCCUACUAUUCCUACUAUGCAAGGGAUAAAGGGCAAAUCUUUUUGGGUUUUUGUUUUGGUAUGCUACUACUAAGCUAAACAUUGAGAGAGAACUUGCAACAAGACAGAAGAGAAGAAUGCUUGUGAGCUCAGGAUAUUCUAAAUGGUUGGGUGUGGAGUUGAGCUCACAAUGCAUGGGUAUUUAUUGGGGGAGUGCCACACCCUGGUUUAAAAAAAUAAACCAGAGUCAUCAUAUGUGUGCCCAAGAAGUCCACACAUAUAACAAAAGAAUAGAAAUAUCAGAAACAAUGUUAUAUAUAGCGGAAAACAUAUUUAUAAUAACAGUUACAAACAUCGGGCCCAAUAUAGUUGUUAUGGUGCUUAAUCUGUAGACAGAGUAUGUGGAAACAGUAGCUAAACUUCUUUGGCUCCAUUCUUCUCAGGGACGGUUGACUGGGGGCUGUGUAUGCCAAGCACUUCUCAUAAGCUUCUAGAAAUCUCCAUGACAUCUUAACCUUCUUCUGAGCAGCACUUUGCUACGCACUGGGGGUGUGGGGGAAAUAGCAAGGGUGAGUUCAUGUCGAACUCAACAAGUACAGGUAGAAAGUAUAAUGACAUGCAAGGCUUAAUCAAAGGAAAAGCUGACACUGUUUAACUACAGGUGAGCUUUUAAGUUGGUAAACUUUUGUUACGAUUCUUAUAUUAAAACAACCUAUUACUAAAUAUGAGUGAAGCAUCCCAACCCUUAAUUAGAUGAAAGUAAAUUAAUAAUACUAUUACUCAUCAUUAUAAUUAUUAUUAUUGUUAAGAUCUCUGAGGUAGCAACCUCAAAUAGUAACUCGGGGUAGCAACCCCAUUAAGGUCAUGGGAUAGCAAUCCCAAUUAAGAACACAUGAUAGCAAUCCUGCCAACACGGAAUAGCCAUUCCGCCAAAGCACGAGGUAGCAACCUCAACCAAAUUUCGCCUCCAAGUUUCAUGUUAUUCCAAUUUGCUCAUCAUGUGAGAGUCUGGGCCGCUCGUGACCGUGAGCCCGGCUGAUAUAUCAGUUUUACACUCUGCAAAGGUGUGCACUUUCACUCCAAGUCAUGAUUCCCAUUCGCCCGGGGUCGCGACUCCCCAAAACACUACCAAGGUGAGCAGGUAGGGAUUCACUACGAGACCUUUCACAGGUUCCGACUAAUAAGAUGCCACUCGUAAGUUUUUGCCAGGGCGCGCAGCAGCCGUGCCCAUAGCAAUGGGACCCCGCACUGACCGACCUCUUAAUAUGAAUACCCAAGCUACUUCCUUACGCCUACCUGGAAAGUAACACCCUACCAGCGGAGGUCCUGAUAAUUAGUCAUGCCAGAGCCAAAUGGCUUGGAGCUGCACUGUAUGUCCCAGGGGGCCGCUCCAUGACUAAGUCCUUACGGAGAGCAGAGACGGGUACGCUCGGCAAUCGGGCCAACCAACAGUACCCGCUCCCCCUUUCCUCAACAAACUACGAUGCUCACAAGCACCGCUACAUCUUCGUCACCGAAGUGACCAUUAUCCACCAUUGGAGCAUUAUUUAUCAUUAAAGAAUUCAUUAGGCAAGAUUAUUACUUUUAUUAUUAUAUAAAUUAGAUGAGCAGAGCAGCUAAGCAUAACUACUGUUCACUAUUCUACCCAUAUAUAAAACCCAGGAGUACAAGGAAUACAAUAGAAGGCUAGUCAGGUCCUUAGGGUUUGCAGUAUUAAUACACAUGCAGUUAAAGUGAAUAUAAUUAAAGUUCAUAGAUACAAUAUGAUCAAAGGGUGCCUGCACUUGCCUUUAUUCCCAGUGUAUAUCUGCUCAGAAUUCUUUGACUUCUUUCUUGUGAUCUUUAUCUUCUACUGCAACUAAACGACAUGGCUUGUUGCUAUGAUCGAGACAACGCGAGAACGAUUAAGAACAGAGCUAUCGUUAAACGGACACGACUUUCAAGGUUUAAAGUGUAACGGAGAAGAGAACUAUACGCUGGUAGUAUUUUGUGAACACAGGUCAUGGAUUAUUCAAAGAAAUAUCUGAAAGUUGAGUUGACCAAAUUAUAAAGAAUUAUAAAAGGUUAGGGUUAAAUGUUAGUCAUAUUCUAUUUAAUAAAUAAUUAUAUACCACUGAAGCCAAUCAAGCAUUUAUAGAAUAUAUGAAAGCAACUAAUCGAGUGAUUAUAUAUCAUGUUUAAACUAAUCAAGUUGUAAUUAAUAAAGAAACAUUAAGGUUGAUAUUAAUAACAUGGGCAUUUAUUUAUUUUCAAAAGAUCAAAAUUAUAAACAUAAUUUACUUUUAAUUCAAAAUGACUUUAGAUAGAUAUUACUAAAUUAUUUAUGUGCUUCAUGUUUAAAUAAGCAAAUUAUAAUUAAGAAAGUAUUUAAGUUCACAUUUGAUUAUAAAGAUGCCGAAGUGUAAUUCUAAGUUGUUUUUAAAUUAAUUAAAUAGAAAUGCAUUUAAAACAUUAAUCAGAUUAAUUAUACUCAUAAACAUGAGACAAUGAAAAUAGCAUUGCUAAUAUGUAGAUUACACCAACAUAGUCACAACGCAACGAGAAACAAAUUACAACCCUAGAUUGUUCUUUAAUUUAAAAGCUAUUUAAUAGAUAUUAAUCAAAUUAUAUUUAAAUCAAUAAAUUCAAGAAUAAGAUACAUGAUAAAUAUUUAUACUACUACGUAAAGCGCGGCGAUACGAAACUAACUCGACAAGAACGGGCUUAAUCGGAGUUAAAACGCGGAUUCUAUGGCUAAAACUAGGUCGGUGGCAAGAUAGUGAAUAAACAGAACUAUUUUUCGUAUUUUAAAUAAUUAAAACUGAAUUUUAAAAGCGUUUUGGACUAAAUCUUUAAAUACCAAUGGAUCCAGGUGCUAGAUUGCUAAAAACAGGACUUAAACCUAAUUAUUUCCGAACUACUCAGAACUGCGGGUUAAUUUAGAAAAACCGCAGGGGCUUUUUCGCAAGAUGGCCAGGGUGAACCGGGUUUUGGCCGCGUUGACGGCCACGCGGCGCGGCGGGGUAGGUGGGGUGCAGGAGGCGCGCGCGGGGUGAGCCGCGCCCUAGGUUGGAGCGUGGGCGAGCUGGGCCAGGAGCGCUGGCGGCCCACGCGGCAAGAGUGAGGGGGGGAAGGGAGCUGGGCCGGGGAAGAGGGGGGACGGCCCAGGGAGAAAGAAAACCCUUUUUCUUUUUUUUUAAAAAAAAAAUUGAUUUCUAAACUAUUUUACUAAACCAAUUUCAAAACCAUUUUGAAUUCCUAAUUUGAGAUUAUUUAGGAGCUUGUUUUCUUUAAUACUUUUGAAAACCAAGCACAUUUUCCUUAGAUCAUAUCUUUAAAUCAUUUUUCAACUCAAAAUGAAUUUAGUUUUCGAAUAGGACUUUUAGAUUUUUAUUUUUAUUUUUCUUUUCAAAAACCGAAAAGGGCCGAAACGGGCUCGAUAGAAAUUUUGAAAUUUAUUUUUUUACACAAGCCAAACAAAGCUAGGGCACAAAGCACACAAUAACAAAACAAAACACCCUUCACUUGUCUUUAUAAAAGUUUUAAAAUUCCAAAUUUUUCUCUUUUUAUAAUAACAACAAUUAAUAAAAUCUUGCAAUAUUUUAGAAAAAAUUGAAAUCCUUAUUUAAUUUAGUGUUUUUCAAAUAACAAUCCAAAAAUUAAAAAUUUUGGAGUGUUAUAGAUCUACCCCACUUAACAUAAAUCUCAUCCCGAGAUUUGAAGAAACUAGAGAGAAAGAUAAAGUAGAUCAUCAAAGUUGUUUCGAGACUUUCAAGACAUGAUCAAAGAAUUAAAUAUAGACAUAAAGGGUAGAGAGUAUGGUAAAGAUUGAAGACAAGGAAAGAUAAUCGUAUGAGAUUAGAAUUGAUCUUUGGAUCGUGUAUUAUGAUAAGGUGCAAGGGCAAGAAGCAAAUAUUAACAAGAGAUGAUACAUAGGAGAUGGAUAUAAUAUUGCUCACAAUUUCCUUGAUUCCGGGUAUGUAUAAGAUAGUAGACGAAAGGAUAAAGAAUUAGCAGAAGUUGACAAAGACUUAGAUUUUUUUUAAGUCUUCACGCUUAAUCAUUUGUAGUCCUAUGAGACGUAGGAUCAAAGAUCGUCGAUUGGCAAACAUGAUAAGGGUUCAUCGCAAGAAUGAUAAAGAUUCUUAUAUAGUUCUCCAUGUCUUUCUGAUUAGAGAUUUUCGAGAGUGAUGAUCGUAGCGAAUGCUGCCCCACUUAGACCAAGUGUUUGCUCAUCUUCAAAACUCCUAUAUAAGAACACUCAUCUUGUCCGUAGAUAAUCUGCAAAGUUUUCCUUUGGAGGUUACUAGUUCGACAAUACACUGCACCUCUUAAGAUUUGAGGGACACGAAGAGAAACAAAAAGAUGAUUAGAAAGAAUAGAUUGAAAUAAUCUCAGGUAUCUCAAUAAAGGUGUGAGACUUAAACCAAAAGUCGAUAAGGUUAUCUAGUAGAAGGUUCUUGAACAGUAUCUAGAAAAGCAACCCAAGGGGUCUGUUAAGAUUGACCAUAUAUCGGUAUGGUUUUCAUCUGACUUUCAGGUUAUGCAUUUUGUCACGUGAUAGUCCAUCAUAUAUUCCAGGGUGAAAAAUAAGUCUUAUCUUAGGACCUCGGUUUCUUAAUGCCUUGCUUUGAUAGGUCAACAGGCAUCACACUUUCUAUGAUACUUGGUGCUUCUUUGUGGUCUCCAUAGAUGAGUUCUAAGCAGAUUUGACCUACUACUUGCAGUGUUGGGAGAAUGAUGCAAGAAAGAACUACACAAAGGAUGUUGACUCAUUCUAUAAGGAGUAUUUAAGAUCGCUUCAUAGGUAAGCACUACCACUUGAUGUUGGGACAACACUAGGUGCUUCGCCCAAGGUUCCGUCGGUUACCAUAAAAAGACUGAACAUCUGGUCAAACAACUCAUUACUCAUACUAGAAGCUUAAGAAUGAUAAGGUCUGAUGAAAUAGAUGUCUCACUUUACGAAGAGGAUUACAAGUUGCUUGAAUGCAAAAAAUCUUUAUAAGCUAAAAGGCAUAACUGACUUUAGAUUUCAUAGACCAUUAUUGACUAGCUCAAAACUAUCUGGGUCCCUUAAUAUAACUUGCUUCACAUAAGAUGUUGAGAAUAUAUCGCCUUUGUAUAAGGUCCACAUUUCUUUCAAACUGCCUCGUUGUCGAUACAAUCAUUACAUUAGUCCUUUAAACCUUGGGGUGAGGUCGAGGUGCCUUCAUACACAAACCUGUCUCCUGAUGGGGUGAUUAGGGAUACUGAGUGUUGGGUACAAUCAAUCUCUCCAUGACAAGCAGUUAACCAUCCUCUUCCAAGAACGACAUCAAUCUCCAUUGACUCUAGGACUAUAAGAUUUACCUCAAAAAUUACACAUUUUAUGUCGAGACAAACUUUUGGACACAUGUAGGUUGCUCUUAUUUUCCCUCUUGGUGAUUUGACCAGUAUGAGUCUCUUCAUUUCCAACAUAAGCAUCUUAUGAUCGGCAACACAUUUACUCGAGAUAAAAGAAUGUGAAGAACCUGAGUCGAACAAAACAGUGGCAGGAGUUGAGUUGACUAGAAUUGAUCCAAACACCACAUUUUGUGCUUCGCAAGCAGUACACAUAUCCACAUGGUUCAAUCUACCAUUAACAUAGUCACGAACUGGGUACUUCUUUGGACAAUGCUUCUUGUGAUGUCCCUCUUCGUGACACUGGUAACAAGCAUUGCUAACAGUUUUAACAUAGGUGCCAUCCUAACAUUGAGCUCCUUGAAUUGAUGUGCUAGGAGUAACUAAAGUGCUACUAACUUGUUGGUUCUGAGGGUUCACUUUCAAUGGAGUCUCUUCACUAUUUCGCUUCUUAGCUUGAUUACUUUUUCGAGGAUGAAGUUCUAUGUAGGUGAUGGUCCAUCCAUCUAGGCAUAACUCUGGCAUAGCAAGUGUAGCUGAAGGGGCAUCUAACUCUUCAAGAUAUGAAUGUGUCUGAUGAGAGUUUGGAGCUAAAUCUAACUGCCAUGUAGAACUCAGAUUUGGCUCAACACUUAACAGUGGCUCUAGGGAGAUUGCCUUCUUUUCUUGUUACCUUCACUCUGUUGAUCCUAGGGUACUUCUACCUUUCCUUCGCUUGACUUUUUCUAAAGGCACGGUAAACCAUAAUAUCUGCAACAAUUACAUGGCUCUUGAAUCCCAAGCGCCUCAUUAAUACCAUCUGUUGACGGUCCUUGAGUAUCAAAUUUAAUUAUCAAAUAAACAAAGAAAAGGAUCCAAAUGAAAUCAACAUCUAGACUUAGGGUUUUAUCUAACAGAAUUCCACGAGUUUUGGUGUUUGUCUAUUUUUGCAGGGGGUUAUCAGGAAAUACGGAAGAAAGGCCCACACGUCAGGAUUACAUAGAGAUAUUAACGUGUCGCGCAAUUAUCUUACAUCUAGAAGACUCCAGAAGCCACGAGACCGAAGCGGAGGCGAAACGGGGCCAGAGGCAGGGCGCCCGCCCUCCUGCCCUGGGCGCCCGCCCCCUCCCUGAGUCCAAUCAGGACUCUGCUUCGUGGGAGAUCUCCACCGACCUAAAGGAUGAAUCUAAACCAUACAAUCUAUGUCGGUUUGAUCCAACGGCCCAUAUUCACUUGAAGGGACUAUAAAACCAGACCCCCUGGCCCCUGGAGGAGAGAGCCUCUCAACCCUAAUUCAUUGUUCUUCAAGGGAGAAGAAGUCUCUGAUCAAGAUUAGAGCCACCACAUCAAUUAGAUAUCUAGAUUAGCAUAGCUACAUAGGAUUGGAGUCAAUCUUCGAUUGGUUUCCGGAUCUAUCAAGAGGAUUCUUGGUAAUUCUCUAAUUGUGCUUCUAAUUACUUUCUAAUUAUCUUUGUUCUUCAAUAUUAUGAAUAUGACUUUGUUCUACUUCAAUAUAUUGCUUAUGACUUUGCUCUACUUGCUUAUAUUCAAGAUUAUAUUGUUCUUAGUUUAUCAUAGUUAUGUACUUGGCUUAGUUAGAUUGGAUCUAUAUACAUGCUUAGGAUCGUAUAGCGUUUAUCCAUCGAAUCCUUGGGUAAAUGAUAGAUAUUGUGUAGGCGUGGUGCUUAUACCGUAUUUAUCUGCGAUUGUACCCAAUAUGCCAGAUCGUGGGGUGGUUCAUGAUAGUGACAGCUUCAUUGAUUCUUAUAUAGUCCCCCUCUUGUGUAUUGGGCUGGCAGAGCAACAUUAUUACAGGGGAGUGAUUGCUAUGUUUCUCAUAUUCCUUGCUAAUAUCACUAUGCAUGGGUGUAGUCUUGUCUCGCAAUGAUUGCUAAGUAUGCUUGCACUAACUAUGAUAAUGCUAGACUAUAUAGUUAAGAAUAACUUAGGGAAUAUUCUUGUAGUUCGUUCUAAUACCAUGCUAAUGACUUUCUAGAGUAUCUAAUUGAGGUGCUUAUCAUAUUUAUAUGUGGCUGAUCACAUUAAUUACCUUUGUCACUAUUCAUUAUUUCAUAUAUCUUUUAUGUGACACUUAUCCUUGUAUGAAGAGUUAGAUAAAUGUUCUCAAUUAUACAUGCAAUGAUAGAUGCUCAAUCUCAUAUUCUAUUCUGUAAUCAAUAUUGAUGAUUGCUAAUCUCUUCCCAGUGGUAAAAAUAUAAAUAACGAUACCUGGAAUACCUCCCGGUUAAAAUGCUACAUCGGUAUUAAUCUGUGCGCUUGCAGAUCCCAUUCAUUAUUUAUUUAGAAGAGCAAUUGCAUUUUUCAAUACCGCGUCUCUCAUGUCAUGCUGGGGAUGACAACUUGGCUUAAGUGGUAUGAGGGAUAGGUUUGGCAUUUUUGGCACCGUUACUAGAUUUAGAGAACUUAGUCUACUUUUGGUAAUGAUGUUAAGAAUACCCAACACCAUCUUUCCUAGUUUCCAUGUUCCUCCAGACUUCUACUAUUUGUCUCUUCAUUGCUCUUUCCUGAGUUUUGGUCAUUGUCUUCUCUGAAUGUAACUGAGAAUCUUUUUGUGGUCCCACUACACUUAGUACUUGAUCCUGUGUAAACAAAGGCUUCUCCUUGUUUACUAGUGACAAGGGUAACAUGGUUGGGUCUUUCUGACAUUUGAUGUAAGCUUCUUCUAUGUCACCUUGGAGAAGUAGAGCUUGUACAAUCAAAAGUUUCUAGAGUCUGGCCAUCUGAUCAGCUGCCAUCUUUAGGAUCUGAGCUUGCCAGGCUAUCACCUAUUCACCACUUAGUUGUGUUGUAGAAGGCAUUUGUUGACUCUGAUCACUGGUAUUAAUUCCUUUGACAUCAUCAUUGGUGUCGAUCAUCUGACAUUAGGCAAUAGUAGAACGAGCUAGGGUAGUAUGGACAAAGAGCAUGAUAUGAAGUGAGAGAAAAUAGGUGGAGAGGAUCAAGAUUGACAAUAGAUGGAUAGGAUAAGAGAGAUCACUACCCCACUUAGCAAAGAUCGAGCUAACCCUCAAACAACUUCUUCUAGACCUCCUUCAAAACACUAGAACAAAGACAACACACAAACAACAAACCAAGCAAAACAAGCACGCAACACAUCAACAUACUACACGUGCUUCUUCAACAAUGGUGGUCAUCCUAAAAGGUAGGUCUGAGAUGAUGAAGGGCCAUCGACAUUGGGAAAUAAAGCAAGUUUUGAAAACUUAAGUAAAACACAUAAUAAACAAAAGCCAAGGAGAUAAAUAGAAAUAGCUCAAAGGAAGCUAUUCAAGGAGGGGAUACAACAUGACAAGGAUGAAGAAAUAGUCAAGGGAUGAGAAAAUAGUUUUAUAUCAAAAUAAGCUUUAGAAAUCGACCAGUGCUAUCUAGGCAUACGUCCUACAGUCAACAUUGCUUUGAUACCAUUCCUAUCACACCCUGGUUUAAAAAAAUAAACCAGAGUCAUCAUAUGUGUGCCCAGGAAGUCCACACAUAUAACAAAAGAAUAGAAAUAUCAGAAACAAUGUUAUAUAUAGUGGAAAACAUAUUUACAAUAACACUUACAAACAUCAGAGUAUGCGGAAAUAGUAGCUAAACUUCUUUGGCUCCAUUCUUCUCAGGGACGGUUGAGUGGGGGCUCCGUAUGCCAAGCACUUCUCAUAAGCUUCUAGAAAUCUCCAUGACAUCUUAACCUUCUUCUGAGCAGCACUUUGCUACGCACUGGGGGUGUGGGGGAAAUAGCAAGGGUGAGUUCAUGUCGAACUCAACAAGUACAGGUGGAAAGUAUAAUGACAUACAAGGCUUAAUCAAAGGAAAAGGUGACACUGUUUAACUGCAGGUGAGCUUUUAAGUUGGUAAACUUUUAUUACGAUUCUUUUAUUAAAACAACCUAUUACUAAAUAUGAGUGAAGCAUCCCAACCCUUAAUUAGAUGAAAGUAAAUUAAUAAUAUUAUUACUCAUCUUUAUAAUUAUUAUUAUUGUUAAGACCUCCGAGGUAGCAACCUCAAAUAGUAACUCGGGGUAGCAACCCCAUUAAGGUCAUGGGAUAGCAAUCCCAAUUAAGAACACAGGAUAGCAAUCCUGCCAACACGGAAUAGCCAUUCCGCCAAAGCACGAGGUAGCAACCUCAACCAAAUUUUGCCUCCAAGUUCCAUGUUAUUCCAAUUUGCUCAUCAUAUGAGAGUCUGGGCCACUCGUGACCGUGAGCAUGGCUGAUAUAUCAGUUUUACACUCUAUAGAGGUGUGCACUUUCACUCCAAGUCGUGAUUCCCAUUCGCCCGGGGUCGCGACUCCCCAAAACACUACCAAGGUGAGCAGGCAGGGUUUCACUACGAGACCUUUCACGGGGUCCGACUAAUAGGAUGCCACUCGUAAGUUUUUGCCGGGGCACGCGGCAGCCGUGCCCAUAGCAAUGGGACCCCGAACUGACCGACCUCUUAAUAAGAAUACCCAAGCUACUUCCUUACGCCUACCCGAAAAGUAACACCCUACCAGCGGAGGUCCUAAUAAUUAGUCAAGCUAGAGCCAUAUGGCUUGGAGCUGCACUGUAUGUCCCAGGGGGGCGCUCCAUGACUAAGUACUUACGGAGAGCAGAGAUGGGUACGCCCGGCAACCGGGCCAACCAACAGUACCCGCUCCCCCUUUCCGCAACAAACCACGAUGCUCACAAGCACCACAACAUCUUCGUCACCGAAGUGACCAUUAUCCACCAUUGGAGCAUUAUUUAUCAUUGAAGAAUUCAUUAGGCAAGAUUAUUACUUUUAUUAUUAUAUAGAUUAGAUGAGCAGAGCAGCUAAGCAUAACUACUAUUCACUAUUCUACCCAUAUAUAAAACCGAGUACAAGGAAUACAAUAGAAGGCUAGUCAGGUCGUUAGGGUUUGCAGUAUUAAGACACAUGCAGUUAAAGUGAAUAUAAUUAAAGUUCAUAGGUACAAUAUGAUCAAAGGGUGCCUGCACUUGCCUUUAUUCCCAGUGUAUAUCUGCUCAGAAUUCUUUGACUUCUUUCUUGUGAUCUUUAUCUUCUACUGCAACUGUUGGUCCUCAGCUCCUGGUCUUUACUGUUGACGAACCACACUUCUUCUACUCGAAGCAAACAAGCAACACAAAUAGACAAACAACAAUCACGACUAAGAUCAAACGACACUCAAAAGAAAAGCUUAGAAAGAGGGCACUAAACGACAUGGCUUGUUGCUAUGAUCGAGACAACGCGAGAACGAUUAAGAACAGAGCUAUCGUUAAACAGACACGACUUUCAAGGUUUAAAGUGUAACGGAGAAGAGAACUAUACGCUGGUCGUAUUUUGUGAACACAGGUCAUGGAUUAUUCAAAGAAAUAUCUGAAAGUUGAGUUGACCAAAUUAUAAAGAAUUAUAAAGGUUAGGGUUAAGUGUUAGUCAUAUUCUAUUUAAUAAAUAAUUAUAUACCACUGAAGCCAAUCAAGCAUUUAUAGAAUAUAUGAAAGCAACUAAUCGAGUGAUUAUAUAUCAUGUUUAAACUAAUCAAGUUGUAAUUAAUAAAGAAACAUUAAGGUUGAUAUUAAUAACAUGGGUAUUUAUUUAUUUUCAAAAGAUCAAAAUUAUAAACAUAAUUUACUUUUAAUUCAAAAUGACUUUAGAUAGAUAUUACUAAAUUAUUUAUGUGCUUCAUGUUUAAAUAAGCAAAUUAUAAUUAAAAAAGUAUUUAAGUUCACAUUUGAUUAUAAAGAUGCCGAAGUGUAAUUCUAAGUUGUUUUUAAAUUAAUUAAAUAGAAAUGCAUUUAAAACAUUAAUCAGAUUAAUUAUACUCAUAAACAUGAGACAAUGAAAAUAGCAUUGCUAAUAUGUAGAUUACACCAACAUAGUCACAACGCAACGAGAAACAAAUUACAACCCUAGAUUGUUCUUUAAUUUAAAAGCUAUUUAAUAGAUAUUAAUCAAAUUAUAUUUAAAUCAAUAAAUUCAAGAAUAAGAUACAUGAUAAAUAUUUAUACUACUACGUAAAGCGCGGCGAUACGAAACUAACUCGACAAGAACGGGCUUAAUCGGAGUUAAAACGCGGAUUCUAUGGCUAAAACUAGGUCGGUGGCAAGAUAGUGAAUAAACAGAACUAUUUUUCGUAUUUUAAAUAAUUAAAACUGAAUUUUAAAAGCGUUUUGGACUAAAUCUUUAAAUACCAAUGGAUCCAGGGGCUAGAUUGCUAAAAACAGGACUUAAACCUAAUUAUUUCUGAACUACUCAGAACUGCGGGUUAAUUUAGAAAAACCGCAGGGGCUUUUUCGCAAGAUGGCCAGGGUCAACAGGGUUUUGGCCGCGUUGACGGCCACGCGGCGCGGCGGGGUAGGUGGGGUGCAGGAGGCGCGCGCGGGGUGAGCCGCGCCCUAGGUUGGAGCGUGGGCGAGCUGGGCCAGGAGCGCUGGCGGCCCACGCGGCAAGAGUGAGGGGGGGAAGGGAGCAGGGCCGGGGAAGAGGGGGGACGGCCCAGGGAGAAAGAAAACCCUUUUUCUUUUUUAAAAAAAAUUGAUUUCUAAACUAUUUUACUAAACCAAUUUCAAAACCAUUUUGAAUUCCUAAUUUGAGAUUAUUUAGGAGCUUGUUUUCUUUAAUAUUUUUGAAAACAAAGCACAUUUUCCUUAGAUCAUAUCUUUAAAUCAUUUUUCAACUCAAAAUGAAUUUAGUUUUCGAAUAGGACUUUUAGAUUUUUAUUUUUAUUUUUCUUUUCAAAAACCGAAAAGGGCCGAAACGGGCUCGAUAGAAAUUUUGAAAUUUAUUUUUUUACACAAGCCAAACAAAGCUAGGGCACAAAGCACACAAUAACAAAACAAAACACCCUUCACUUGUCUUUAUAAAAGUUUUAAAAUUCCAAAUUUUUCUCUUUUUAUAAUAACAACAAUUAAUAAAAUCUUGCAAUAUUUUAGAAAAAAUUUAAAUCCUUAUUUAAUUUAGUGUUUUUCAAAUAACAAUCCAAAAAUUAAAAAUUUUGGAGUGUUAUAGGGAGAAGGGCAAGUGGUGGAAACCCUAUGUAGGGAUCAACCGACCCCCCUCCUAGCACUUUAAUUCAAAAUUUGCUUUGGCCAGGGAAUCUUACAUCAAAGUAUGAAAUCACUUUUCAGAGAUGGUCCAAAGUGGGGUCGUCCGACCCCCACCCUAAGCCCUCUUUUGCUAGGUGUGGACCAAAGGGCUAGGUGUGGACCAAAAGUAGUGAUCUUUUUUAGAGAUUCCCUUGCCUAGUGCUUAGUGAAAGAGAAAAGAUGAUAGGCUAAAGUGGAGACAUGUCAUAAGAUAUUCCCAUGGACCAUGGAGACACUAAAGCAUGCCUAUGUGACCACUUUGCAGGAGUUGAGCAUGGUGGCAUGGUCCCAACACUUUAAAGAUGAAAGCAACAUCUUAUGUUUAAAGUGAUAAAGCAAAGGACCAUUUCUUUUCAGACCUUGGUUAGAGUGGUAUGCAUAGAUUUAUGUGUUAAGCAUCUGGGAGACAGUAGAGUGCAGGUGACCCAAUAUGGGGGUCAGGUGACCCCCCACUUUGGUCCUCCACUUGCACCCAAGUCCUGGCAUCAUAUCACUAUACUAAGCCAAGGUGAAAGAAUGGUCAGUGGGCCCAAUGGUGCGGUCAGGCAACCCCACUUUUGGUGGUCCAACUGCUCAAAAAUUAUUGCAAGUUGUUCUCAAGUAUUUAUUUAUUGGGGUUAAGUAUUUUGUCAAAAAUAAAAUAUGCAAGAUUAUAACUAAGAAUGCAAUUGAAAAGUGCAAGACAAGAAUGCAGAAAGCAAAUAUGAGAUAACUAUUUAUUUACAUUCCAGCAGGGGCUCCAUGUUUUAGGUCCAUAGAGCAGGACCUCUCCAUUUUGUUCAUGCUUUGGGUGCCUCGGAUGGUCCUAGAGAUGGGGACCGUGAUUGCACCUUUCUCCCGCCAUACUGGUUUGAUUUUGGCCUGUGGUUCAGCGGGUUCUUCCUUCUCUAGUUUGACUUUGUUGGCCGACUCACCUUUCUUAUUCCUUCGGCGCGGGUAAUAGCGAGGUUUGUUCUUCGGUGCCUUGUCCUUCACUUGCAUGUUAGUUUUAUAACCAUUGAAUGGACACUUUACCUUUGCUCCUAGGAAUUGAAGAUGAAUUUGGCCGGACCCCACAUAGAUGAUAAUGUUGGCUGUGUUAAGGAAGGGCCUUCCCAGGAUGAUAGGAUUAUCAGCUCCCAUGUCUAGGAUGAUGAAGUCGGCGGGGGCGUAUUUGUCUUGUACUUUGACUAGUAUGUCCCUUGCUAGUCCCUUAGGGAACCAGAUCGUUUGAUCGGCCAUCUGCAAUUGAACAAAUGUUGGGAGCAAAGGCCCCCCUAAUAGGUUCUCAUAAGUUACCUUGGCCAUGAUGUUAACACCUCAUCCAAGGUCGCAUAAGGUGUUGUGGAAGAUUUGUGGUCCAAUUUCACAGGUGUUGGUUGGGUGGCUUCGAUCGUCCUUCUUGGUGAUUAAUGGUUGGUCAAGGAGAUAACUCUAGUUUGACUGCAAUGGAGGCUUACUGAACCUUAUGUUUACUAAUUUAACACCUUCAAUUGGAUCCUCAGGUUUCCCUAGGAUCUUACCUUGCUCGAUGGAUGGGACACCUGCUGCUAGUUGAGCUAAUUGUGUUUCUAGCAUUUUAUUGAAGCUCAAUUGAUUUUUCACAGCAGAGUUAAAGCUAUCCAUUUUCUCACUUAAGUUUUCAAGAAUCUUAUCAUUAGCCAUCAUUUUCUUAUUUAUGCUAUCAUUUAUUUUGGACUAGCCUAAGACAAGAUCUUUAAUGAAGGUUGGUUACCAUAAGAAUUAUUGAAAUUAUUGUUGUAACUAUUUCCUUGGUUUUGGUAGAAGGGACGCGAGUUCCAUCCUUGUUGUUGUUGUUUGGGCCCGUACCCAUUGUUGUUGUUGUUGUUGUUGUUGAUGAUGAUGAUGAAGCUCACUUCCUCCUUUGUUUUGGGACAAUUAUUUCCCGAAUGAUCUUCUCCUCCACAUACUUCGCACCAUGGACCAGCUUCGACGACUCGUGCGGUUGCGUAGGGUUGAAUGACCUCUUGUUCCUUCUUGGAACCUUUUUCUACCUUUUUCAUCAAGAGGUCCAUUUUAGCGGAGAGCAUGUCCACCUCAUUGAGGGCGUGGACACCUCUCUUCUUGGGCUGGAGGCGUUCCUCAUUCCAUUCUUGAUUUGUAACCAUCUUCUCUAUGAGGUCUUUGGCAUCCAUGACGUUGUGUUGCAAGAAUGCGCCUCCAGUAGCAGCAUCAAGGUGACUCUGGGCCAAACCGGUUAGGCCAUGGUAGAAACCUUGAAUGAGGAGCCAUUCCUCUAUCCCAUGAUGAGGACAGGCACGAAUGUACUCCUAGAUAUGUUCCCAUGCUUUGGGGUUUGUCUCAUUAGCUUGUUGUUGGAAGCUGGAGAUCUUUCCACAAAGGGCGCUGGUUUUGCCCAUCGGGAAGAACUUCUUGAGAAAUGCAUUGGCGCACUUCUCCCAUGUGGUGACCUCACUUUUGUUGGUAUAGAACCAUUGCUUCACCUUUAUCAAUAGCAAGAAUGGGAAAAGGCUGAGAUGGAUGGCGUCUGCAGAAACAUUCUUGAUAGUGAAGGUACCACACAACUCCAGGAAGUGUUGGAGUUGGGCGUUGACGUCCUCAUGUGGCUUCCCAGAGAAAGGGUUGACUUGCACCAUGUUGAUGAGUGUUGGCUUAAACUCAAAAGUUGCAUCACCCAAGUUAAUCUGUGGACCCAAGGCAACAUAGUCAGCUGACGAUGUAGAGUACUCAGAGAUGGUCUUUUGGGCCAUAACCUCCUUGAAAAUUGGUGCAGAACCUCCUUCCUCGAAUAGAUUUAGGAUCGAGAUGAACCUUUGAGGUUGAGCUUGAUGGCGUCUAACUAUCCUCAACAACUGCUCAGGAUCUUCAACAAAAUAUGAUGGCAGUUGGAAACCACUCAUUCACCUUCUAGUUCCACGAUAACAAGAAACAAGAUAGGUGCGGGGUAAGCCCCUACACUAAUUGAUAACUAGACCGAUAGUAGACUCUGGAUUCACUUUUAUUAAAAUUCCUAGGCUGACGCUUUCCCCGGCAAUGGCGCUAGAAAUGCUUGUUGGCAAAUCUUAGCAUCGUCACUAGAUGUUAGCAACGAUGCAAGAAAUGCCAGGUGGGUACUUCUUGUGUCUAUUGGAUUGUUCCGCAAGCGCACAGAAUAUACCGAUGUAGCACUUCACCGAGGAUGAGUAUUCCAAGGUAUCUUUAUUUAUUUUAUCCCAAGAGAAAGCAAUGCUAGGAAUAUUUAAAAAGAGAAGAGAUAUCCUUAUGUCUACUAUGAUCUACUAUCGACUAGUGAAGAAGGAGGGUAAGUGAUUGAUAGGAAGGGUAGAUAAGUAAGGUAGCAAAGAAUCUAAGCUAAAGAUAACUGGUAGAGUGUUAGCUAGGUGGGAGGACAACGAGUGAGUAAAGGACUCCUAUGUAUCCUACUUUACUUCUUUGUACUUGAUCCUAAUAGAUAGCUGACUCAACUAGACUAAUGCCAUACUCCUUGUGUGAGGGGGAUAGCCAAGAAAAUAGGAGAUAGAACCCCUGCUAAAGCAACUAUACUCUUAUGGACGCCUAGCAUUUUAAGAACUAGUUUGUACGUGAGGAGAUCCUAAUGCCGAGCACGACCUGUCACGUCCAACCAGUGCGCUCCUACCGUCCGUCCAAACCAACGACUAUCAAAGGUGAUCCUUAGUUUAAGCACCGCACUUACACUAACUCUCACGACUCUAACUAUGGCGUAGAUAGCUCAAGCUCCUAUGCAAGAUAGGACGAUGAAACACACACAAGGAGUUGGUUAUAGGAAACCAAUCAACCUAAGUCAACUAAUAUUACUAAGACAAGCACACAACAAGGCUAUAGUAACUAUAGACUUGUACUAAGUAAAUACUUAAGUAAAUACUAAGUAAAGUAAAGGAAGAAUAAUAUAUUGAUAAAAGUAAACUCUUACAAAAGAGGAAAGGUAUAAGAGCUAUACCAGACUCUCUAGAAGACGACUCCAGAGACCCUGAGCUUCGCUCGACUCGACUCUAACUCCCACUCUAGACUAACUACUACUACACUACUUGAUCCUUGAAGGAUUGAGAGACUUAAUGCUCUUCUAGGGAUGCCUCUCAAGGGUGGAGGCAGCCUCUAUUUAUAGAGGAGGGAGAGGGGGUGCCACAUCAGUGAUCCGUCUGCUUCAUGCCUCUCCACCCUUAAAUGAACCGGCUUAGUAACCGCCAUAGAUGGAGGGCCAUGGUAAUUUGGACAUGUGGAAGUUGUGCUUGAGUCAGUGGGGAGCCAACCGACUUGGUUAGGCACCAGGAGGGGGUCGCCUGACCCCUCUAUGGUAGGUGGGCCCAGCCAGGGUCUUCUAGAAGGUGACCCUAGUUAUCAUGUGAAGUGGCUCCACCAUUUGUGAAAGAUUUGUCAUGUUGCUUGCUUACUUGUGGGCCCAUGGAUCUAUGUGCAAUGAUCUUUCACCACUAGAAGUUGAUCUGAGGGUGGAAAUGGACUCCAGGGGUCUCCACAUGGAUUGUACUUCAUAGCACACCUCUUGGUGGGACCAUAAUGGGGUCGCCCGACCCCCUCAUUAGGUCCUUCUAAGGUGCAUUUUCUUGUUUCCAGUAAUCAAAGGCUAAGAGUACAAGUGGAACCAGUUAUGGAUAAAAUAUGUUCAUGUUUUGCUAUUCUUCUGUGAGACCGAGGCAUGUUGACGGUGUUUUGAGUGUGAAUUUCUAUGGUACAUCCACCGUCAACAUGAUCCCCCAAGCUUAACCUUUACUCGUCCCAAGCAAACAAUCAAACUUAGCCUCGAUGGAUGAACUAUUGUUACUAUGCUCACAUUUCAAGAGUACCAUGUGUACAACAAAGUUCUUCUCUUUGAAUGAAAUAUUAGCUUAAAAACUCACCCAUAUUACCUUAGUCCUCUAUGGGGCUUAUGGCUUUUCCUUUGUCUUAGGCGGUUGAAAGAUAGAACGGUUUGACUUGAGCACUCAUUUUCUUAUUCAUAGCAAGUUUCAUACCGGAGGUUUUGUAAUAUUUUUUUUUCAAAUGAAAACUUAAUGUUCCUCAUAUGGUUCUCUCAAGUCACUCGAAUGGUGUAUGAUUCCUCACCUAGGCAUAUGAUAAGAAUUACCUUCCUUAGUUCUUCCUACUUCUAAAAAGCAUAUGUGGAGUUCAAGGUAGGGAUAAAGAAAGAUAGAAUACUCACUUUGCAUUUAUUGGGAAGUCAAAGCUUGGAUCCAAGAAGAGAAGUGUCAUACCCCUAGAUCAAGAUGUGCAAGUGUGUGGUAUAUAAUGAACUAGGUUGCUCCUUUAUUUGAUAAGAUAUCUCUCUAUAUUUUUUUUUCUAUUAAGACAUGGCUAGCUCUUUUUUUUCUUUUCUUCUUUUUUCAUGGACCUUCAUGUGCCCAUAUGUAUAUAUAUGUUGCAUAGCCCUUUUGGUGUCUCAUCUAUUACACCAUAUUUGGAGAGGUAUUCUAAUACUUAAAGCAAGGAGCAAGUUAUUUGGUGGAAAUGGAAGACAUAUUUUUGCGUACUUCUAGUGUAGAAGCAGCAUGUAUAUAUGUGGUGUGUGUGUGAUCUUGAUCUUGGGAGCAUGAUAAGUCUCUUAAACAAGGGUCAACAAGACUUGACAACACUCAACACAAAUCAAAUAGCUUAUGUGGAAGGUUUAUAAACAUGUAGAGCAUAUAUGGCCGUGGUAGGAAUUUAUCAUCAGUGAGGAACAAUUAAGGUUUUGAUAAUUUUAAGAAUAAAUUCUCAGGUAUUGCAACAUGCUUAGAACAAUACUAUAGCAGCUCUAAUCUCACUAUCUCAUAUCCCUCAACAACUUAGACUUAGUUUUAGCACUUGCAACCCACAAAGUUUUUGGGUUCAUGAUGGUUUAAGUGAGCUAAGUAAUACAUACUUGGAGAAAUGCUAGGCUGUAAACUAGGUACUAAGGAAAUAUUGACAGAGUAACUAUUCAUCAUUUCCAUAAGGAAGAUAAACAUACAUGAAGCAUAUGUGUUAAGCGAGAUAAGCAAAUAUUUUUUUGAUAUUUUCUUUUUUUGAAUGCACUAAGAUGAAUAACUAGAAUGCAAAAUGCUAAGAUAGAAUACUUACCUUAGUGGGGGAGAGGAUCUCCCCCAAGCUUGGCUUUUGCUCACUGUGGCGGCGGAUAAUGUUAGAACCAUCCGGCCCAUCAUUGUGCUUCCUCAGCUUGUAUUGCUUGUAGAAGUUGGGCAUUUUGUUGUGCCAGCUGCAGCAUUGCUUCUUAUUCAAUGUGCAUUGCACCCGUGUUGUUGAUGAGGUCGUCCAUCUCUGUCCUUUGGUGGCACCUUUCCCUGCCCCGUGGGUGAGGAGUGCGUUGUGGACGUGGAGGCCUUUCCAUGGACCCUCAUAUGUCCAUAGAGCUUGCCUCAUCGCCUUCUUCAACUUCAUCUCCUGCAGGAUUUGAGGGAGCACAUUGCUCCAUUUAAGCAGCUCGUGACAUUCCUCUUGUCAUUUGGCGUGGUCCUACAAUAUUUUGGCUACGUGACUCUUUGUCUAAUUUAAUGGUUAGCGUACGAAGCGCAUACAGUUGACAUUUCUCACAAGGGAGAGGAACUUCAACUGUAUAGCCCGAAUAAACCAUUUUAAGUCCAAACCUUGGACCUCUUUUGAGCACAUUAAUAUUAAUGAAGACAUCCUCAUUUAAAACAUCUCUAGCAGAGGUGAUGUACUCAAAGGUAUGUGGCUCUAGUGCAUCCGUUGAUUCGGCUAUACGAGUAAUGAAUGAUGUAAAGUAAAUGGGUUUUCCAUACUCAAUGGAGUUGAGCCAAUAGUCCACUAGCAGUUUAACAGGUGAGACCUUAAUUUUGCAUACCAUUGCAUAGAGAAGUUUAAGUUCUUCAUCACUUAAGAUGUUACCUCUAGUUCUAAGAAAAAGAGUCAUACACAUCCACUAAUGAAGAAAACACAGGGUCAGGUUAUGGAUUUGGUGGGGUGUAAGAUUAGAGCAAUCGUUGGAACCAGAUAUUGCUUUCCAAAAGUCAUUUUUCUAAACCCGAUAGUGGCAUGGUCUAGAUCAAGUUCACAAUUGUGCUCACAUCCUAGGGUAGUGUUCAAGAUGCUCCAAGUUAAAUUACAUUUUUCCCUAAACAUGUGAAAGGCUACGCCAUUGAAUGUUAAUUGUAAAGUACACAAAAAAUCUUGGGUGAUCACUUCUAUGCCAAGUUCAGGAACCAUCCAAAAUCCUCCCCAACCAAUUGUGUUAAAAACAACAUUAAACUCUGCACUCAUACCUGUGUGGUCCAAGAGAACCGGAUCGAUGAUGCUUGUGCAGCGAAAACUGCUUGAUCGUAGGGUGUUGUAUUUCUGUAGCUCUUCUUGGGUUAGCAUGAGGCCGCUCCCGGGCUCUCUUACUCUUGGUGGAGGCUCAUAGAGUACCACUUGGUGGUGACUCUCUUCCUCAUCCCUCCUCUCAUGGGUUCCUUUGGUGUGGUGAGAGUUAUGGGAAGAGCUCUCACCCUUCUUGGACUUCUUAAACCGGGAGGUGAGUAACUUCUUCAUCUAGCUACACAAGUGAGACAAACCAAGCUCCUACUAUUCCUACUAUGCAAGGGAUAAAGGGCAAAUCUUUUUGGGUUUUUGUUUUGGGAUGCUACUACUAAGCUAAAUAUUGAG
rnacentral:lncRNA from 1 species